rnacentral:lncRNA from 1 species
GCACGCGGAGGUCGGCGCUGGGCCGCGCGUCCUCCAGCGUCCGCCGCUUCGCCCGCACGAACUGCCCCGACGGGUCGUACAGCAGCUUGAUGAGCGGCGUGGAGACGGCGGUGAUGAGCACCAUGGACAGCGUGAGCGUGGAGUAGUGCUCCGCCGUGGCCUUCAUGGUGUCGCCCCAGUUGUUGAUGGCCGCCACCUCCACGAUGCCCCGGAUGUUGAGCAUCAGCGCCAGCACGGUGGCGUCCCGGAACGGCAUCGCGAAGAAGAGCCCAGCGGCGACGCACCCCACCAGCUUCCCCGACACGCACAGCGCCACGAACAGCUCCAGCGCGCACCACUUCUCCGAGGUCUCCGGCUUGGUCAGCUCGGCCAGGUCGGUGCGGUACCCGGAGAGCGCCAUGUACACCGGCAGGAAGAGCGCGAUGAAGAAGGAGUCGAGGCGCUCCGUCAUGGUGGCGCCGAUGGGCAUCCCGCCGGGGAGCGCCAGCCCCAGCAUCAUCGGCCCGAUCAUGUACUUGAACCCGAUCGCGUCCGUCACCAGCGCCGACAGCAGCGCCGCGAUGACGACGACGACGAAGGAACCCUCCGACAGCAGCGACCCCGUCGGGGUGCGCUUGUACGCGAUGUACCGGCCCGCCGGGCGCGCCACGAACCCCACGAAGAGCACGAACGCCACGAACGAGGCCAGGAUCUGCGCCGUGAACGCCGCCGACUUCGCCUCGGAGACAAGGAAGACCGCCGCGGUGCACGCGCGGAGGAACCAGGAGGUGACGUCGGUGAUGAGCGACGCGGUGAGCGCGAUGCGGCCGAGGUCGGUGUUGAGGAGGUCAAGGUCGGAGAGCGCGUCGGCGAUCACGGGGAACGACGACAGGGACAGCCGGACGGCGAGCUCCGUGAUGAGGGAGGAGCCACGCAGAUCCUCGGGGAGCGACGGCUGGAGCGCGUGGAACACCGGCAGCGUGACGGCGAGCGGGACGAGCGCGCCGGUGAUGCCGACGGCGACGGCGCGGCCGCUGGGGCGGCGGAGGAGGCUGAGGUCGGUCUUGACGCCCAUGGAGAAGAGGAACAGGAUGAGCGCCACCAGCGACACGCUCUCGAGGAUGUAGGUGCCGCGCUCGGAGAAGAGGACGCCGCGGAAGGUCUCGCUGCGGCCCAGCACGGUUGGGCCCAGGAAGACGCCGACGAGCAUGUGGGUGACGAAGCGAGACUGGCCGAGGCGGCGGAGCACGACGUGGGCGGCGGCGGAGAGGACGAGGAUGACGGAGACCUGGACGAGGAGGAGCGGGAGGGAGAAGCGCAGCGGCUGGUCGCCCAGGAACAUGCCCUGUGAGUUCACCAGGUUGUUGUCGUAGCACGCCGCCGCCAGCGGCUUCACCGUCGGCUCCAGCCCACCCGACGACAGGUUCGCCACCGCCGCCAUUGAUGGUUUUGCUGUUAAUUAGAAUUGGAUGCUAUCUAACUGCUAAUAAGUGAUGGGCACGCUAGGCAGCGCCAUUGAUCCCUCCCUUCUUUCUUGGCGUUGCUCUGUUCGUGGGCAAUGGUGGUGACUCUGCUCUGCAUGUGAACCCACAAUUCAGUGUGGCAGGGAGACAGUGAAGGGCAAUGCAGGCAAGGGACAUGAGAGGCUAUUUUUAGUUGUGGAUGAGAGGGAUAAUAGACAGAGGGAGACAUAGCAGCAAUCCAAGUCCAAUAAUAGAGUUUGAAGGCAACCGUGAAUUGGACUGAAUUUUCUGACACUUGAGGUCUGAACAAGAAGGGAUGAUGCAGAUUCAUGCUUGUUGCUGCUGCUUCAAAGUAAGUAGCUCAUCAGAUCCUUUAGAACUCGAGGUUCGUAGGCGGGAAAGGUAUUUCCACGUGCACAUGUGACCAUAUUGGUUAUCUCAGCCGUUCAUUUUUCUCACAUGGUAUCCAUCCAACCGUUGAAUUCCUACCCGUGAUUCUCUCGUGAUUCAUCUCACCUGUGGUUUCGGCAGGAGGACACCAAUGGACCCGGUCGGACCAGCGUUUGCUGUCGCGCGCCUUCAGGCCUCCUUUCUUCGUGGACCAAAAAUCUUUCGAAUGGGCUGGACUUCGAAAAGUCUGUCUGGCUCGAGUAAUUGGGCCUGGUAUAGGCCCAGAGAGCGCCCCUGCUUCGGUUCAUGGUAUCCGAUCCACACUCUUUAGAUCCAACGGUUUGGGAUAGAUGAGCCGGGACAGUAAAUGAGAUACCGUCCGGAGGUGGACGGUAAAUCAAAUACCGUCCACCCCGGCCUCGCCGCCUCCUCCGCGCUUCGUCUCCGGCGACCACACCGAUGCGGAUAAGUGAAACGGCUUCACCGGCGAGGUGUUCUCCGCCUAGGAGGGUUCUUCUCGAUGGCCGUCCUGGCUCCAUGCAGAGCGCCGCCGCUCAUGGCCGCGGCUGACUGGGCGUGUGCGGUGCUCGCCGCCACGGCUCAUGCAAACCAUCCACCCCCAGAAUCACGAACAGCCAAUUAUGCAUGCAAUGGUAAGACAUGACGAUUUUCACCGCCGAGCUCAAGAGUUACAUUUAAGCAAUCCUACUCCAGUCCAUCUCACUUUUAUCCAUCGCAACAACCUGAAUGUCAAUCCAAUCCUAAAACCAUUUCUGGCCAUUAAGAGCUUGCAGCCAUGCACGAUAGAGUUUACGUGUAGCGGCCAUGAAAACGACUGGUCCCGAUUCAAUCAUCAUCAUCAAUCCCUGUCGUCUUCGUCUUCAUCCAGCGAGUUCGUCGACCGCCUCCGCCAGCUCAGCACGCGCCCGAUCCGCGGCAGCCUCAUCACCGAGUUGGCCCGCGUCACCCCCUCCAAAGCUCUCCACACCGUCGUCCCUUCCUCCGACGCCUCGCCGCCGCCUCUGCUGCUCACAACCCUGCGGAAGCUCCCCGUGAACGACAUGCCCGCCUGUUCACGAGGCGGCUUCACGUCUCCUGUGCCUGUGAGGCUCUCCUCGUCAGGAGAUGCCGGCCGGUUCAAGAAGAGGCACACGACGGCGCAGUCGUCGACCAUGGACGUCGGGUACUUGCACCGCCACGCUCGGACCGCACGGUCGAUCAGCUGUCUCGCCGCCUUUGAUGGGUCGGUGACCGAUGAGACGAUCUUCACCACCUCCUUGUUCGACAGCACGUCCCAAAUCUGCAACAACAGAUUUUGGCAAGGAAAAUUGUAACUUUUGAUGGUCAUGCAUGCUAGCAUAGGAAAGCCAUAUUGUCUAAACUUUUUUUUUCUGUUGUCCAAUCAAAUCGGAAAAUCGCUAUCAGCUAAAACUAUCAUGGAAUAUUAAUAAAUAGGUGACAGAGAUAUGUCACUUUCAGUUAACAGUUUCUGCUGUCAAUCUAAUCAUAAAAGGGAUUCAUGCUGUUUAGUACUCAGAUCAUUUGGAAUAGAACUGCAAACCUGUCUACUUAAAAUUGAAAGUGAUAGAAAUCUGAAACUUCCAAUCAAAUAAACGAGUUUCCGUUUUUAUUACCCCAUCAGUUGCAAGCACCAAGAACUCGUCCUUUUCAGAUAACUUCCUGCAGUAGACUUCAGGUGUGCAGAUAAGGCCAUGGCUCUUCAGGCAGAAGUCCCCGAAGGCCCUUGCCAUGGCGAGACCUGGAGCAUCCUGGUCCGGCAACCACAUCCUAGGCACGUCCGGUUCGUCAUCCAUGGCGAAAACUCGUCCCUUGCAGUUCAGAAUCCUUGCGAGUUCACCUAUCGCGAGUGCACAACAACGUAAAAUGCAAUCAAGAAAAUGUACACAUACAUUUCAAGAAAGUUAAGAUGCUCGCUUACUUGGAAGAUCUGGCUUCAAGUCAGUUGUCAGUUGGACUGGGAUCAGCCGGUCCUUGCUGUCCCGGGUGCAAAGAACAGCUCGUGAGUCACCCAAAUUGGCGAUGAACAAGUGAUCACCCUAUGCAUAAGAAGUAUGAUUAGCGAAAAGAAUAGGUAAGAUUUACACUUCGGUUCCAAUUCAGCUAGUUCAGUUCCUGGUCUUUCAGAAUCUAAGUUUUACUGUGUACCAAAAGCAGUACUGAUCCACUGAAAAAAAAAGGAGAGAGGAUACAGUAUAUGCAUUUUUCUGAAUUUUAUUAUUGCCAGUACAAUAAGUUGCAAGCUUGUAAUCGUAGUAGAACUAGUACCUGCCUAACAACAGCGACUGCUGUUGUGCCACUACAAAUGCAGUCAAUUUCUGAAUGUUGCCUCAGCUCCUCAUCCACCUGCUCAAAUGUCUUGACAAAUAUGUUUUUCCAUGUAGACAACAGGUGUUUCUCAUCGCUUGUAUCAUCACUAGAUGUGGUGGAGUCUGACUUGUCAGAGGAAUCCAAAUCUGUAUUGCUUGAAGUGUCUUGUUCAGUUCUGAGCUUCGAAGUAUCGGUUGAGGGAUCUUCUUGUUCUCCAGUUUUGGGCUUCAAAGCAGAGGAUAGUUUCAUGGGAAGGGUGUCACGGACAUGGCGAGCAACUUCCCGGCCACGAGGGCCAUGCCCAUCAAAUACCCCGCAGAAGAUGUGGCCUUUGUGGCCAGCAAAGUCCUAAGCAUCUUGAAACAAUUGCGACACAUCAUGAUUUAAUCGAAUUAUUGCUCACAUAAAAGGGGAAAGCUAAUGUACUUGCAUUGGUGAUACUAUUGAUGUAGUAGAAGAUAUGGAUGUGCCCUCAUAAUUUUCAUAUUGCUGAUGUAGUGAUGAGGUUCAUGUACAAUACAAACUUUCAGGACAUUGGUGGGCAAUAAAUAUGGCGAAGUACAUGCAAUACUUAAGGUAAAUUUCAGUUUUGCAAGAAAUUUCAUUAUGCUGUAAGAAUUCAGUUUUGAGCAAUGUAGAGAUGGAUACAGUGCACUUUGCUAGUUCUAAAUGCAACUUGUAGAGGGCAGAGAAUCUUGCAAACAACACCGUGAAGCAGAGGUUGCUUAAUCAUUGCAGAGCUCGUGCAGGUGGUUAGAGAAUUGAGGUGAAUUUCAGGUUGCAGAGUUUAGAGGUGGAUCCGGUGCAUUGUUGUUAAACAAAGUUGUGGAUGCAUUUGGCAGUGGGUAGGCAAACUAAAGUUGGCAUGCCCUGUGAGCAUCACAUCGCAGCUUGUUGGGAUGCCAGAAGGAGACGAUACUUUGUAAGAAAGGGGGGAGAUACCUGGCAGACGGCCAUGGCGUCCUGGUUGGCGCCCUUCCAGCCUUGCUUGGUGUGCAUGGAGGCGGCGGCGGUGGUCCAGAGGUGGUGGUGGAACACGUCGUCGUGCAUCCAUGGGAAUCCCAACCCUUGCUCGUCGUCGUCGAGGUCCGCCUUGGCCUUGCUGCAGCAGAUCCCCAUUGUUGGUUGCGCGUGAGCUCCGUCCUCUCCUCUCCCUCCUCUGCAACUGCAAGCACAAGCAGGAGGCAGCCUUGUUUAAUGGAUGCAUCUUCUUUGGUUGGUUCGUGGAUGGAUGUGGGUGGGGGUCCACACCGCCGGCAUUAAUGAGGACCGGUAGGGAGUAGUCAUGGAAUGGAAUGGUGCACGGACAACGGAACGGACAUACUAGCAUGAGUCCAUGACACACAGGAGCAUCCAUCUUGGGCAAGGGGACGAUGCAGGGCAGCAGCUGCCGUUGGCCGGUGGCUCGUACGUAACGAUGUUGAAGCUUGAGCAUGGGAGCCCCCCAAAGGCAGUUGCCCUGCCCUGCCGGCUGUCCUGUGUCCAAGGCAUCGACGACGGCAACGGAUAGGAGGCAAGGUUGGCAACUGCCUCCUGCCACGUGAUGCCUGUACCCCAUGCCACAUUCGCAGUUGGCACCGCUUCAUCUUCUUCGUUCAAUGCUAGGCUACCCAAAGGCCAUAGCCCAUGGCCAUGGCUGCCUACCUACCUACAUAUCUUGGAGUCUUGCUUUUGCAGAGGGAGAUGCCGUCGCCCGUUGCUCUCGCCUCCUACCUGUCCGUGCCACUCAGCCUUCAGUUCAGUCCGCUAUGAGUGCCCUCCAAUUUCAUCCUGGAUUCCAACCACACGUAAAGCCACUUCAUUCCAGCAAUCCAAAAAAUCAUGCACCAGCCAUGGCCACAUCAUCACACAACUGGCACAAGGCUCUAUCACCCAAAUUCAAUCAUCUCUUCAAUAACAGUAUCUUCCAUUCAUCUAUAUGCUGCUACACAUACAAAAAGAGAAAUCCAUGCUUUUUUGUUUGUCAAAAUUGUAACCUACUCCCUGGUUUCACCACUUGACCAAAAAAAAAGCUGGGAUGGAUCUAUUCAUCUAUAUUACCAUACAACAUGAGCAUACUUCUGCUCAAACUAUUAAGUAUUGACACAGUACUCUGACUAUUACACUACAAAAUUUUGAGCUCCUUCAUCCUUAGGCCUGACUUCUGAAUGCCACUCAAGAACCCCUCCAUCGCCAUGAUGCAUGCCCUUCCUUCCCACAAACACUACACUUCAGGCCUUCUCAUCGUACAAGCACAUCUUGUGACUGUUGCUUCCAUACAUCACAAGGUUCCACCUCAACCUACACAGGACCACAUCUAUUAUUAGCCACUUUGGUGUUCACAGGUUUGUAAUUUUACUAAACACAAAUCCAUUGAACACAAAAGAUUAUAAGAGGAGGGUUGUCCUAUGUUUAUUUGUUUUUCAAUACCAUUUAUAAACAAAGCAAGGGCACCACAAUAAAGGGGGACAAAGCCUCCUUGUCACCGCGGAUUUCAUAGAUUUUUAGUUUUUCUCAAGUUAGAAUACGCAGGAGAGCUGCGUAUCAUUUUUAGAGUUUUUUUCUCAAGUUAAUACACAGUCUUGUAACUUUGCAAGACCAAUGGGAUCUCCAAAUACAAAGCAGGAAAGCCAGUUUGAUGGACGCAAGGAUUCAACAUAAUGCAGAGGCAAAACAGGCAAGCUGAAAGAAAAAUGAACAAUACCUUAAAUGGUUUGUUGAUCCAUUGGAAAAUACAACCACGUGCCUCAACAUUUUUUAGCAUAUGAGGAGGCAUCAUGGAUUUGAAUGCUUUAUGAAGCUUCACUUUUGUCAAACCACCACAGACCAUGAGAGCAGCUAUCAAGCCAUUAGGCGUAAUACCAGCUAAAUGUACAAUGGUCAUGUUCUGCAAGCCACAUAUGCUAGAAAGUGAAAGCAGUCCAAUGUCGGUGACCGAACAGUAUGACAAGUUUAUCUGUGAUGAGACAUACGUGCUAUCAGCAAAACGAAAAGUAAAACAUACAUGGUACUAAUAGAUUUCAGCUACAGGAGAAAAGAUGUGAUACCUGACGGAGGCUAUGAGAAAACUGUGAAAGGUGAAGCAUGCCCACAUCAUUAAUCUCAAAGCAUUUCUUGAUAUCAAGCUUGGAAAGCAGCCUGCACCCCAUUGCUAUUCCCGAGAGCCCUGUGGAUGAAACCCUGGGACAGCCACGGAUCUCCAGUGUAUUUAGCUUUGUGCAUUUUGAGAGGGACAUCAGUGAACGGUCUGUUAUUUCUGUGCAGUAGGAUAGAUUGAUGGAUUCUAGUGUUGGACAGCCUUGAGCAAUCUGAAUAACCCCUUCAUCACUAAUGCCUCCACACCUGAAACAGAAACUAUAAGUCAGUUUAGCCACAAAAAAAACCAAAGAAAGAGAACCACAAGGCAUGUCUAGUAAUGACCUGUACAAAUCAAUAUCUUGGAGUUUUGGGCAAGACUUUCCAAUGUGGGCCAGACCUUCAUCACUUAUCCUCAAGCAAAUGCCAAUUUUUAGGCUCGAAAGAUUGCUGCAUCCGGCGAGAGCUUUCAGCCCUGCACAAAAAAUAUUCAUAGUCAACUUUAUGUCAAUUUGACAAAAAAAAAUUCAACAUUCAGUUCAGUAAGUACCUUCAUCAUCCAAAUCACUGUCAGUAAGGUCCAGCUCUUCCAAAUGAGAACAGUGCUUCCCAAUUAGUUGGAGUGCUCCACUUGAAACAUGACUACAAGACUCCAUCCUCAGAGAGAUGAGGGAAGUGCACGAACCAGUGAUGGCAGCUACUGAAACAUCAGUGAUAUUGCGACAACAAGUGAUGUCCAGCUUCUGCAGAUUCUUUAGUUUUGACACAGCAAAAGAGAGUUCCGUAUCUGUCACUCCAGAGCACUUGCUAAGACUUAACUCCCUAAUAGAAACACAAGAGCUUCCAAUUUCUUUUAGUCCAUCAGCCAUGAACUUGCAACCCUCCAGCUUCAGGGUCCGCAGUUUAGAAAUUUUUUGGAGGCUUCUCAACAUACAAGGAGUAACCUGCUACAAGAAGGAUGUAAAUUAAGCUGCGAGAUAUGCCUAGGUGAUACAACAGUAAGACUAGAUGAUUAGCUGCUUACAGGACAGCAGUAUGAAAGAUCCAGUUCCAAUAGAUUCGGUAUCGAUUUCACUAUGGAUGAAACUCCCACAUCAGUGAUGUUCUGACAAUGAGACAUAUCAAGCACCUGCAGUGGUACAAACAUGGAAGAUCAGUAAGCAAAGUUUUGUGCUGCUAUCAAACACAUGUUUUAGUACAACAUAACUAGUUCAGAUCAGGCAUCAACAGUGUUCAGAACCUAACAGUGUAAGCUCAAGCAGUAGUUGAAGCAGAAAAUACUACUCUAGUGUUUUGAAUGAAGGUGAUGCAUUGAUACUGACAGGUCAAAAAAUAUGGCAAAUUACAAAGAUUGCCUCACCUGCAGUGAUUUACUGCAUUCUUUCUCAAGACUAGCAAGGGCAUCAUCAUCAAUUCCAAUACACCCCACCAGUGUCAACACCUGGAGAUCGGGUAGCUUCAUGAUGGCAAGAAAGCUCUCUUUUGUGAUCUGCAACAUAAGACACGUUUGCAUUAGUUCAGCACGGUAUGAUAGGUGCGUUCAGUACUCAGAGAAGUGCAAAAGAAACUGAAUCUAUGUCCACACAAAAUGCACAGACGAGAAAAGAAACCAUAGUUGGCUACCAAAGCUUCUGAUACUUUGUUGCAAAGAUCAAUUGCUAAUUUGCUAUGUACCGAUAAGAGCACUUGCAGAUCAAGAAUAUUAUAGUACACUGCAGUGGUCCAAUUCGCUAACACUAACUGAAGCCAGUAGAUUCAGCAAAGGAAGUAACCGAAGGCAGUAGAUUUAGCAACGAAAAAAUAACAAAGUACUGUGCUCCGAUGAUAAUUCAAGAUUUCAAGGGGAAGAUUUCAUGCCUUGAAAUUAAAAUCAAGGAAACUACUGCAGGAGGAAAGAAAGAAAGAGUUUUCCGGCGCCUCGAUCCAAGCAGAAAUGAAGAAAUCAAGAAACACACGGAUGCGGCGCUCACCAUGGUGUAGGAGAGAUCCAGGGUGGUGAGGUUCUUGCACUUGAGGGCGAGGAGGUGGAGCCCCAAAUCCGUGACCCCCAGGCACCACUUGAGGGAGAGGUCCCUGAGGUCCGUGCAUCCGACGGCGACGCAGCCGAGCCCCAUGUCGGUGAGCGCCUUGCAGCGCGAGAGAGACAGCCUCUGGAGCCUCCUCAUCCGCGCCACCUCCGCGGCUGCCGUGUCGCCAAGAUCGACCCCAUUGGAGAGGUCGAGUUCGGCGAGGUCCGGGCACGCCGUGGCGAGCGCGGCGAGGCCCGCGGCGCCGAAGCCCCAGGAGCGGGAGAGGUCGACGGCGCGGAGGGAGGAUCCGGAUGAGGAGGAUACGGCGGCGAGGGCGGCGUCGGGGACGCGCGCGCAGAGGGAGAAGUCGAGGCGGGAUGCGGACGGGUAGCGGGCGAGCGCGGCGGGGAGGAGGUCGGCGCGGAGCGGGCGGAGGAGGCGGCGGUGUCGCGACUCGGCGGCGUGGCAUGCGCGAGAGGCGAGCGCGAAGGACUUGAGCGCCCGCGGGUCGGCGGCGGCGACGCGGUCGAGGACGAGGAAGAGGAGCUCGUCGGCGAGGGCGUCGAUGGGGGCGGGGGAUGGGGAGAGGCGGCGGCGCUUGGGGUGGCGGUGGGCGGCGGCCAUGGUGGGUUCUUGACCGGGAUGGGUGGCUGCAGAGGAGGAAGGAGAGGAAUGGAGAGGGAGGGAGGGAGCAGGGGAAUGAUGGCCGCCGGCGAUUGGGCUACGCAACAAGAAUAACUAACCAAGGAGGGGAGAUGCCGAGACUGCCCCUGGAAGGUGUUGUUCUGGGCGCGGCGAGUUGCGCGCCUGGUUUCCAUGUUUGCCCCUACGCUCCUGCGGCUGGUCGGCAGUCAGCGGGGGUAGUAUGGGAACAGGAGAAUCUGAUUGGGGAGAAGGUACGGUACGGAGGGCGUACCUCCCGGGGGCAGAAGUGGAAAGGGAAAAGAGAGGAGUGGGAGUGUGUCAAGCGGGGAGGGGGCGAUACGGGGGAGGACGGAACGAGGACCGCAUCGUACACCCUGCGAGUGCGGACGGGUACGAAACGCCAACGCGAAUCGCACUGGGUGCGUAGCGUACCCGUGUCGCCGACAUGUGGGCCCCAGCACCUGGGUUCAUGAAAUCAAAGCGUGGGGAGAGGACUUGCGUGUGGAUAGUUGUUGACUGGUCCCGGCCUCCCCGGGGACGGACGGCGUUUUCCGCGUCAGCGACACGCUAUUCCGUUCCGUCCUCUUCCACAGGUGGACCGUAAUUUAUGUGGUACGGACACCAUUACCCACAAUAAUUACCACUAUAGUAUAUCAAGGACUACUACACGGCCCCACAACAAUUCCACGGCCGCAAAGUCCAAACUAACACCAGUGUCGGGUCAUAAUUUUAUUGUACUACUACCAAAACUGCCAUGUCAUCUUUCUAAUGGAACGAAACUGUCACUCACUCACUCUCAGUGCAUAGUAUUAUAGACAGCCUACAACAUUUAAUUUUUGCGUGGAGUUACGAUAAAUAUAUCUUGCGAUGAAACUAUAACAUCCUUAGUGCAAGUUUCAUCGGAUUCCAUGGAACUUGGUAAUUGUACCAGGUGCGUAUAACGGGAUGAAACUCUCUUCUCCUCCCUCCUUAUAAUUAACCUGCCAAGUCAGCAGUUUUGUUGAUGUGGUAUAUGAUUUAAUUCUGAUGAAACCUCAUGACACUUCCAUUAAAACUGGCUGAAGCUUAAAUUUCAAGAGCAAUAUAGUAGACGCUGUCCAAAUAAUUUUAUACUCAACUAAUAUAAAAUGCCACCACCUGAAUGCAGACAGGGAAUAUCGUCCAACUAGCCAAACCAAAGUUUCAUAUCAUAGAUUUAUUGAUGGAGACAUGCAAUAUAUCCAAUGGGCACUUAAUAAAGAAAAAUAACAGCAUCCAACUUUUUCUCUUCUACCAGAUUCCGGUAGUGAACAAAGAUAAAACAGCAGGUAAAUCAUAUACUUAACAAUUUUUUCUCUUCUACGUUUCAAGCUAAACCCAGCCUGAUUACUCCCCCAAAUCUUUUUCGUGAGAGGUGGUCAUAUAUUAUCGAUCGUGUAAUAGAGAGAAAAAUAUGAAAUGCCUUUUCUGCUAGCACCACAGGACUAGGACGGUUCCUGAAGAUGUGGAUAGAGCAAAGAAUAUAUGUUAGGUAUCUGUCAAUGUAAGACCUAACUGGAGAUGGUUCCACUCCCACAAAGAUUGCAGAGCUACUCGAAUGAUAACCUCUCCACCGUUCACUGUGCUGAGCAUCUAGCAAAGGCAUUUUUUUUUCAUGCACAUACCUAAAUGUUGUCCAUUCAGCCUCCUUUUGUCCUUACUAAUCCAGGUCUCUACUUUAGCCUCUCUCUUUUUUUUCAAUCAUGGUAGCAUGGUUAAGCCAGAACUGUCAAAAGACUCAAAAAUGGUUUUAAAAGCAUAAAUGGUUUUUCAAAAAUGUUUUUUUAGGUUGAGACGCAUAAAAUGGUACUAUAUAAAUUUAAAAGCGAUAUUUAAUCAUAUUUAUAUUGUAGAGGGAGAUAUUAAUUUGUAGAGGGAUUUGCUCCCUUUUGAAUUUUGACAUAAAAGUUUUUUCCCCCAAUACAGAGAUAAAGUUUGCGGUGCUUAUUGUAUUAUUAUAUCAUAUGAAACUUUUGUCUUAUGAAUUUUGCAGAAUGAUGCUUAACUUUUGUAUGGGCCAAAGAGACAUAGUUGUAGAAGAUUUGAUCAGAUGAUAUACAUUUUCCGGGGAGCAGACCUAACAUUCUGCCUCUCAUGGGCCGAUUUUUUUUUUAAGAAGCUAUACAUGAAUUGUUAGGAUGAGACCUAAUAUUCCACCCGGCCCCCUGAUUCACGAAGAGCAAAGGUUUAUUUUUUUAGUAGUAGCGCUGCAAGCGGGGAAAGAAAAGUUAGGUUGACGUUGGUGGUCUGCGGUGCCGUACUGUAGGGCGUGAUUGGUUACCCAGAUGAGACCGUCCGAUCCGUUAUCCAGUACAGAACGGUGCGCUGACUGCUUGUAUAUUUUCCCUGUACCUUUCCAUUCACUUGAGCCCUUCCGUCCUGGUUACUCUCGUACCUGAAGUCUGAGCUUCCCUCACUAGCCGGGAUAGCUUGGUGCAUGCAUGGUGCAAGGACUCAUGUAUUAGUCAUCUAGAGUUUUGGUACUUGCAUGUAUCCAAACAAGAACUCGCUUUAUAUAGGACGAUAAACACGACCACCUGUGCAAGUUUGGUUGCUUUGAUCCUGCGCAGCUUGAGCAUCCUGAACCGAGGAGCAAACUGCAACCAAUCACGCCCGUACUGAAAAGGACGGAUGGGAUUGGUGCUUGGUCCUUACAUUGAUCAGCCCGGUAGUCACCUCACCCUGAUAACCACUCCAGGCUUUGCAUCACUGGACUAUAUAUAAAAAAAAGAGUAUGUAUCUUCCUGGAAGGCUCUAUCUGAUGCUCAGCCUAUCCGCCUACCAGGUAUCUCCUCUCCCAAUUAAAAGGUACUCUAUUCUACUCCUAAGUGCAAAGGUUUAUAUUAUUUUCUUACAAAAUAGAUCAACAUAGGAGGAUCUAGGUGAUUUUUCAUUAAGAAGAAGAAUAGCCAUCCAAAUUCGAGUUAGAGGGGACUCGAAUCUGGGUGGUUAGAGUCCCACCCUAACCAGUUAAGCUAGGCUCACUUCCUUAUACGAUUUUCUUACAAAAACAAGUAUUCUUUGUAAGGUUUAAGGAACAUAGUUUGUCAUAAGAACUCUAUCCUGCUUAGUGCAAUGUUUAUAUAUGAUUCUCUGAAUGUGAGCUAUACGCUGCUGAAGAUAGCGCCUUUGACCUGAAAACUGACGCGGCCGCCAUCGCCAGGCAAGGGGCAAAACAAUAGAAGAAGCUUCCGGGAUCCACUACAGAAGCAAGUGGUGGUCGUACAGUUGCUACGGAAUGGCGUCAUCGCGCACGGGGAUCUGAUCCGGUCCACCUGCAAUCGCAAUUUGCAGCUGUUGUUUCUGCUCUGCUGGUUCCUCCACAGCCUAUCUACGAGUACGCAAGAGUACUGCAGCAUCAUCAUCCAUCAUCACAAUUCACAAUCCUUUUCCCUUUACGAGUCCGUUAUUCGUAGGCAUCACCCACCAAUCAGCAUCUUAUUCUGGGUAUACUUCAACUCUACUGUACCAAGGUAAUAGCAGCUAAUCAAAUGAAAAGAAAAAUAAACUAGAAGUACAUUGAAUCAUAACAUGGAUGGAGUGAGCAACGAAAGCUCUUUUCCUUUUUUUUUUCUAAUAUAAGCAAAGCAACGACUGAUCGGCUCCAACAAGGAUUGCAUUACAUUACACCACGGUAGGUAUGUAAUGCUGAUGCUUCAUGCAUCAAACUUACUUAACCAACCUUCUCCCAUCCAUAAAUCACACCACCAUCUUGCUCUAUCAUCCACACAAACACAUGCUCUCCACACUCCCCCCACCCUAGUCCCUACCCAUGCAUGCCAAGCCCAAUGCACACUACCAAGUCCCAGAUUGAAGGAGAACCCUCUGAUAUCACACACCUUAGAGCAUGCCCUGCAAACCAGUUGGAAACAGCCAUCAGCAAUUCAACACAUGAUGAUGACCAUAAUGACAACGAGAUGCAAACAAGUUAUCGGCCAGCUCCAACUUCUACUGCCAAUGACCACCAAGGCAGCUGCCAAGUUAUGGUAUCCAGCAAAGAUGGAACUAUGGCACAUACGGUCUCCCUUGUUUUUAAAAUUGAUACACGCCGUACGUCAAACAAAUCUCAAAGAGACAAAGACAACUGUUACUUUUGGUUCAUGUAUUAGGAUCAUGUGGCUCCUCUUAUGGGAGUAACCAAGUACUAAGGAAAACCUAAAUACAUGUCCAGCUACCACAUAACUAAAAGGGUUGGAAUCACAGUACUCAAAGCACUGUUUUCCUGAUUCAACUUGUAACACAAGUCACAAAACCAUAUAGCAGUGAUGAAUACAGGAAAAAUUACAACCGCAUGAGGACUAACUCCAGAAAAGCAAAACUAUAUCACACAACUGAACUAUGGGAACUUCAUAGGCACUGCAGUUAAGAUCAAGGAGAGAGACAGAGAAUGGUGAACUUAAGCUUUUUCAGAGAGCAUAGCUGAUUCUUCAUUUUUCUUAGCUUCUUUUUCCUUGGUAGCCUAAAUAAGUCCUAGCAAUUUGUAGAUAAAUGUAACUUUGCAACAGCCUAUGCAACUAGCCUAUGUUUCUAUGUAAUUCCUAUCCACAGGAUUAAUAUGAAGGGUAGUUUCCCCUCCCAUUUUCCCAUUAAAAAAUAUGGUAUGGAUAUCUUCAGAUUUUUUUAUUAUUAUACCAAAAGCAGUCAGUCACAAGACCCAUGUGGCACAUCAAAAAUGAAAUUACCAAAAUCGGAAUGCAAAUUGGAGCUGCUAAUGAACCAUUUCAAGUCACUAAAAAUCUGCAUGACAUACUAAAAACAAGUUUGACGGAACCCCCUCAACUUGGUAUACAUACCAUGCUAAGACCAAAAACACUUUGGUCUUAUUGCAUUCCUGCGUAUCUAUACCUCAGCAGCAGGUUCCGGUUCUCCUACAAAAUAAUAUGAAUAAAAAUAAGGAAAUUGAAUUUGGAAAGCAAUUCAAUAAUAGAGUGAAAGAACGGAUAUCAAUAAUUGAUGAGCAGUGUCCAUUAUUCACUCAGGAAUAACUGAGGAAGGGGCCAUAAAUAGAAACCUGAUCAGAAGAUAAGGGCAUGGAUUUUUUUGAUGCAACACAGGAUUAAUCUUUUCAGAGAAAGUUAUUCUGAUAUCAAUGCAAGAGGAGCAAGUGCUUCUGGUAGUUUGGUAAUUUGACUCCUGACAGUUAGGACCUAAGAAGCCCCAGCUUAUGGGCUAAUUUUCACAGGGUCCCAAACGUAAACACUAAACAGUGCUCCGCAGGUGUAACAAACAAAUCAAAUGGCUACAAAAUAAGAGUUUGAAACCAGAUAAAAAAGGCCAUUAUCACUUCCUCCAUCUCUCUUCCUCUGAUUCACCAUCUAACACAUUUGCUUGUCACGAAGAAGAAAAGCUACAAGCCUGAAACCUCACAAGAGUUAUUUUACCACAAUCUCACCAAACAUUUUUAUCAGUGCGGCCCAGUAUAUGCCAUCUAUCUGUUUUCCAACAUUGGAAGUCCCCCUAGGAUGGUACAGACCUAUCUGAUGACCUCCACGCCACAGCUGGACUGGUUUGCGACUGCAUUUUUGUUCAUUCGUGUUGGGCAUGCUAGAAUUGAGAUUCUUGUUUCCUUUCCAUUUCCCUUUUUAUAGUUAGUGUUGGUGCUUCUUGCCAUAUACAAUCAAUAAUACAGCAAUUACAAGCCCCUGAUGCCCAUCUGAUAUGACUUUGUAAAUUACCAAGAUUCUAAGAGUUAUUCCUUCCCCAAAAGAAAAGACGAAAAUAAGAACAAAAAUGCAAGGGUUAUCUAAUAGAUGGUCUCCUUAGCUUGUUACCGGUUGCUUGGUACCAAUGCAUGCAACUGGUUUGAAACAAGGAGCCCAUUGGAGAGUUUAGGCCACCUUGAAUGCUGAGUGGACGGCAACACUGGUUUGUGUUAAAUGGAAGCAACUGUAAAUAUGGAUUAUAGUCGCAAUCCAACAGUUGCAGUUAUUUUAAAACACAGACCAAAGAGCUGAGCAACACAUCGACUACAAAUCCGCAACGCAAGAAGGCAAGAACCCUUCUUCCCUUAACUACUACAGUACAUCUUCUCACUCUAUGCAACCACACCCAAUUCUUCUGCUAGACAUUUUGAACAAUAACCCAAUUACACGCUACCGCAGCUCUGCAUGGAAAUCAAUUAAUGAGGUGUGAGAACAUAGAGAGAAAUUGCAGGAUUUGAUAAACAGACCUGCUCGAGAACACGGAGAUUGCUCUGCUCCACCUCCCUGGCGAGCUUCUCCAGCUUCCUGAGCAUCCCUGCAUACAUGUCAUCCAUCUCUGCCGCCUGCCCUGCUGCAGAGCCCAGGACCCCUUGCAGCCUCCCGAUCCCAAACCCGUCCACGAUUUCAUCCACCGCCUUCUGCUCUCCAAUGGUGUGAGUGUGACGUUGACCUGUGGGCUCUGGCGACGAAGGCUGAGGAAUCGACAGGCAGGGCAUUGGAGAUUCUGGGUAGAAGGCGUGGUACUGGUCCCUGAAGCCGGGGCCGACGUUGACGACGCUAAUGGAGGCCGGGACGAGGCGGGAUCCGAGGAGGAGGAAGGCGCGGUAGUCGUAGGAGUGGGUGGAGAAGUUGGGGGAGGCGGAGGGGGAGACGAGGAUGAAGAGGAGGGGAUGGGCGAUGGUGCGGCCUUCUAUGGUCUUGGAGAGGGAGUUGGCGAGGGCGAGCUCGCGCAUGGAGGGGCGGAGCGCGGUGCGGCGGCGGGAGGAGAAGAAGCCAACGGCGGAGGAGGGAUCCGAGGAGGGGGCCUGGAAGCGGCCGAGGGGAUCGGAGAGGGAGGAGGGGUGGGAGAGGGAGCAGUGGCCAGAGACGGAGAUGGAGAGCGCCGGGGCGGGCGGUAGGUCGUCGUAGUCGGAGAGGGAGGCAGGCGGCGCGGGGAGGUGGGAGGCGCGGCCGAAGAGGAGGCCGUCGCAGUCGCCGGCGGCGGCGGCGCAGCGGUGGAGGAGCGCGGCGAGGGCGGCGCCGGAGAUGGAGAGGUUGGGCACCGGGGCCGGGGUGGCGCCGUCGCCGAGGGCCAUCGGAUCGGGGAUCCUCUGUCUCUGUGGACUCUGCUGCUGUGUUGUGGUAGGAACGAAAGGAACACGCUGGCGUUUUUUUAUUAUUAUAAGCAGCCACAUUUGAUUAAUCAGUAAUUAAAGGAAGAAAGUCACCGCACAAAUUUUCCUUUUCAGAUGAGAUGUUAAUGGACAUCCAAAUUUUUCAUGCCUCUGGAGCCAAAGCUGUCAACUUGCACUUGAUAAUGGUUUUCAGAUAUUUUUAUUUUUACUUACAAACUGAUGAACUGAGUAAUAAAAACAAAAUUUGGCGUCAGUUUUGUCGUCCAUAUGUCUAAGAUUCGGCUAUUGCUGCUAGGCUUAUUAUCAUAAUGCAGAGCUAUUCGUCAUUCGGUUUCAGGCUUGCUAAGCAUGGGCAAUUGGCACAGAGCAGGUUUUGAAGGGGUGCUUGCCAGGAUAAUCCAAAACGCAAAGCUUGCAGAAACUUGCAGGCAAUUUGUUAAAGUGCAUCCGUUUUGCUUUAAGGCUUAUUGCAAGGCAAAUUGUUAUAUCGAGGGCAAAUUAUCCGACGGAUCAUACGUGAAGGGAUAUGAAAGUGUCAGAGAUAAUGUAGUCCAAGCUGUGUGUGUGUCUGCCUUCUGUGCAAAAGUUAGUUAUAUGACAACAAAACAAAGACAACCUCUUGUGUUCCAACCUACUGUUAAUGAGUGUUUGUCCUGUCUAAAUAAUUAUAUGGUAGCAGUAGACAUAACCUCUUGUUCUCUUAUUUUCUUUUCUUCUCAAGUUUACAAUUGUGCAGCAGUAGACAUAAGACUAUUUUCGGACUUUUUCAAGGGUCAAAGCAAAAAGGAAUGCCCUUUUAUCAACCGCAAGCGCCAGAAUGCCGUUAUGGCAUUUGAUAUUUUUUUCCCUUUGCUUCUUACGAUCCUAGCUACACAUGCAUAUGGUACUUAUUUCUUUGAUAUAUACUAUAUAUAUUUGAACUUAUGUUUAAAUGGUCCAUCUCUUCAAAUUAUGAUUCAAUGGUAGGUAGUCAAAUUCAUUAAAAGUAAAUACGUACUAUAUUUGACCAUGUUGUCUCGUGUCCCACGCUUUUUUCACAGCAUGGAAGGCCGACAUACGUGGGCCAAGGUAUGAAGACAGGUGGGUCCACCCGACCAUGCCGUGUGGACCAAGGCAGGAAGACACGUGGAGCCCAAACCAAGAGGCAAGGCGAACCAAUUCAGCCCGGAUAUCACGAUAUACUUGUUGUAAACUGACUCAGAUUGCUUUCCCUGUAACAACUAACUAGGAUUAGAUUCUAUCCGAUAGCGGCAAGGGGCGUCCCCCGAGAAAUUCAUCCCACCUCACGUUAACUCUUCGCACCUGUGAUCGGCAAUACAAUCGACCAGAACACAGGACGUAAGGUAUUACUCUCCAGAGGCCCGAACAUGUCUCAACCUUGCGCCUCUGUGUUACCAUUCGAGUUCUUCAUCUUACGAUCUCCCCCGCCUACAAAUCUACCACCUAGGUAACCCCCUGAUGGACUGCCGGUCACUAAAUCCGACACCCGAGAACCAAAUUGCCAUGCGUUCCAUUUUGUUUGGAUGCGUCCUGCCGACGGCGAUGGUAGGUGCUAGUCCUUUCAGAGUUGUAAGCCCGUCAAGUUAGUUAGUUGCUCUCAGAUGUAAAGACGAGAUCGAAAUUCUUUCAUGCCUUCUUUAGCCAAAGCUAAACUUGCAGUUCAGAAGGGUUCUUUGAGUUUUUAGUACAAACUGAUUUGAUGAACCAAGUAAUCAACAAAAGAGUAUGCCAUCUCUUGACCCUGACAAAUUGCCAAACACCAAGGUUCAACUGGUACAACCAUAUGCUAUCAUGUAAACAAGAGUACACGCAUCAGGUGUACCAAGGCUAAACAGGUGUGCAACCAGCAUAAAUUAAUCAUGUAAAAAAGAGUACACGCAUGGAUUCUUCUCCUUCCUCAUAACAUCAAGUCCUUACCUCGUUAAGUUUUUGGCACCAGUUUGUUAAUUAACUUGCAAGCCUGUGCUGUAAACUGAAGCUGAAGCUGUGCGCUGGGGCUUGCAUGCACGUCAUUAUUGUCUCUCCUCGAGAGAUGGUCUUUCUCUGGGAGCUCAAGCAGAGGCGAUAAGUAGGGGAUCUGGCCCUCCUCUGCUAGAUGUAUCCCCAUUAGUGCAUAUAAUUUUUCACCAUUUAACUUAUUAACGAAACUGAGAUGACGAGCCAAUGGGUAUGUAAAUUAUAUCAUCCAAGCCAAGACUAUCAGCGAAAAUAUCAAAACAUACAUAUACCUAUAGAUUAAAUAAAGGAAACUGCACACAUUGAUUUCAACAAAAUUAAGGUCAGCGUGGAGCUCAUCAUGUGGCUGAGAUGACAUGAACAGAAUGCGCCACAAGUCUUUAAAUUUUUUUUAAAAAAGAACGCGAGCUCUUAUUAAUGUGUUUUCCCACUAAACACAUGUGUUUCUUGACAUAGAACAAUCAGAGAAAACAGAUAUGAGAAAUUUAGGGAUAAAAAUGACAACUAGUUAACUAGUACUAUCUAUGGCUAGAAGAAGGCUAACUAGUUAACUAUGCUACCAUAUAAUUAUUUUGACAGCAGUCCUUAAAGAUGGAUUGGAAAACAAUAUGCUCUCUUCAAUUCUAUUUUGAGAUGACUAAUUUUUGCACAAAAGGCAAACACACACGGAUUGAAAUAUAUUUCCUUCGCAUCUGUAUCCCUUUACAUAGGAACCAUCAGAGUAUUUGCCCUCAAUGUAACAGUUUGCCUUGCAAUAUUCCUUAAAGCAGAAUGGAUGCACUUUAACAAAUUGCCUGCAAGUUUCUGGAAGAAAUAUAGCCACACAUUAGUAGAUUAUAAUCGCACUUGAUUUUGAUAUGUACUAUAUCUGACCAUGUCGUCUUGUCUCCCACGCUUUUUUCACACACGGAAGGCCGGCGUACGUGGAUCAACUGCAUCAGCCUUGGUGAGCGUGUGAUAGAUCGAUGUCUGCCUGCUGCAUCGAUCAGCUCGAACCGCCCGACGACCUUUUCUCGUUUCUUGAUCGAUCGAUCGAGCUAGCUAGGUCCAGCAAGCAGCUACGUACCAACCCAUGAACUAGCAUGAACAUGAACAUAUUCAUGCUGCGCUAGCUCGACGUCGGACGAUGGCCUAUCUAGCUUCCUUUCUUCUUCUUCCGAUCCGAUCCGAUCCGAUCCUACAUAAGGUAUGUGUGCUAGCGGGCCCACCAACACAAACAUCAUUUGUGCUGGAUCAAGGUUGUUGACGGGUGCUCGGCUCGCCAGCACAGAUAACUUUUAGCCGCCAGCACAAAUCUGAUGUGGCCUAGUGUAAUACAAUAGCAUAAAAUUAUUUUUGCUUCAACUAGCACAUGGAUGGUUCUCUUGCUAUUUGUUGGAAUACGGACGCAGCGAGGAAAUUGUUUAAAUUCAACUUCUGGGCUACUAAUAAGGUUUUAUAUAUAUAUCCUAGCUAGCUUCUCAACAUCUGCUUGUGGCGAGAAGACCGUGCAUGUCAACCGCAUGCAUGGCUGACGGCGGCAGCCGGUGCAAGUGCAACUGCAAGCAGCCGGAUCGAGAUGGACAUGCAAACGGCGUGCGUGCAUGGGCAAGUGAAGAUGCCGCAUGGCUGCCAAUGCAACGUGCAUGGCCGAUCAUACGUGGAUCAACUGCAUCAGCCACCGCAAGCGCGGUAGAUUCGAUGUCUGUCUACUGCAUCGAUCAGCUCAAACCACCUGACGACCUUUGACCUUUUCUCGUUUCUUGAUUGAUCAAUCGAGCUAGGAGCUACGAGCUACCAACCCCUGAACUAACAUGAGCUAGCAGCUAGUCAGCUACGAGCCAGCAAGCAGCUACGUAGCAACCCCAUGAACUAACAUGGAAUAAUCAGGACCUAUUUGGUAGGGCUGUGGCUGUGGCUAAAACGGCUGCGGCUGUAGCUGCUCUGGUGAAACAGCUUCUCUGGUGAAGCUGAAGCCAUUCUGAAAAGUGUUUGGCAAAACGGCUUCUCCUGUGUUUUUAGGAAUGGCUGUGAUAAAUCAAAUGUCAUAGAUGCCCUUGACUAUAUGGAUUUUUUUAAUAGAUGAAUGGAAUGCUUAACAUUUAUUUAUAAUUUGAGUUCAUUAGAAAUUUAAAAAAAUAAAAGAAUUAUUGUUUAAGCAAUAAUAAAAAGAUUAUUUAUCCUCUUUAAUUUUUCUUUUCCUUAAUCUGAUCCACGCCCUUCCAUUCCUUUUUUUCUUCUUUCUUUUUUCUGUUCUCCACGUGACCGCAAUCCACCCUCAUGACUCUUCCUAACCGUUUGCUAAUUUGAGUUCAUUACAAAUUAUGAAUAUAAACUAAAGGGAUUCGUGCGCUUGUAAAUACAAAAGGAGGCAUAAUCCUUACAUAGCAUGCAACCAUAUAAGCUAACUGACAUACUCAAGAUGAUCUAGAAAGGAAGAUUGCUCUAGCAAGAUCAUCUCAGAAUUUAUCCAUGGUCCGAUCAUCUGUUUCCAUGUUGGAUGUAUCUCCAGCAUCUUGAGAGACAUAGUCGGAGAGGAAGGCAGGCGGCGCGGGGAGGUGGGAGGCGCGGCCGAAGAGGAGGCCGUCGCAGUCGCCGGCGGCGGCGGCGCAGCGGUGGAGGAGCGCGGCGAGGGCGGCGCCGGAGAUGGAGAGGUUGGGCACCGGGGCCGGGGUGGCGCCGUCGCCGAGGGCCAUCGGAUCGGGGAUCCUCUGUCUCUGUGGACUCUGCUGCUGUGUUAUGGUAGGAACGAAAGGAACACGCUGGCGUUUUUUUUUAUUAUUAUAUAAGCAGCAACAUUUGAUUAAUCAGUAAUUAAAGGAAGAAAAUCACCGCACAAAUUCUCCUUUUCAGAUGAGAUGUUAAUGGACAUCCAAAUUUUUCAUGAGCCAAAGCUCUCAACUUGCACUUGAUAAUGGUUUUCAGAUAUUUUUAUUUUUACUUACAAACUGAUGAACUGAGUAACAAAAACAAAAUUUGGCGUCAGUUCUGUCCUCCAUAUGUCUAAGAUUCGGCUAUUGCUGCUAGGCUUAUUAUCAUAAUGAAGAGCUAUUCGUCAUUCGGUCUCAGGCUUGCUAAGCAUGGGCAAUUAGCACAGAGCAGGUUUUGAAGGGGUGCUUGCCAGGAUAAUCCAAAACGCAAAGCUUGCAGGCAAUUUGUUAAAGUGCACCCGUUUUGCUUUAAGGCUUAUUGCAAGGCAAAUUGUUAUAUCGAGGGCAAAUUAUCCGACGGAUCAUAUGUGAAGGGAUAUGAAAGUGUCAGAGAUAAUGUAGUCCAAGCUGUGUGUGUCUGCCUUCUGUGCAAAAGUUAGUAUGACAGCAAAACAAAGACAACCUCUUGUGUUCCACCCUACUGUUAAUGAGUGUUUGUCCUGUCUAAAUAAUUAUAUGGUAGCAGUAGACAUAACCUCUUGUGUUGUCUUAUUUUCUUUUCUUCUCAAGUUUACAAUUGUGCAGCAGUAGACAUAAGACUAUUUUUGGACUUUUUCAUGGGUCAAAGAAAAAGGAAUGCCCUUUUAUCAACCGCAAGCGCCAGAAUGCUGUUAUGGCAUUUGAUAUUUUUUCCCUUUCCUUGUUACGAUCCUAGCUACACAUGCAUAUAGUACUUAUUUCUUUGAUAUAUACUAUAUAUAUAUUUGAAUUUAUGUUUAAAUGGUCCAUCUCUUCAAAUUAUGAUUCAAUGUUAGGCAGUCAAAUUUAUGAUUCAAUGUUAGGCAGUCAAAUUCAUUAAAAGUAAAUACGUACUAUAUUUGACCAUGUCGUCUCGUGUCCCACGCUUUUUUCACAGCACGGAAGGCCGACGUACGUGGGCCAAGGCAUGAAGAUAGGUGGGCCCACCCGACCAUACCGUGUGGACCAAGGUACGAGGACACGUGGAGCCCAAGCCAAGAGGCCGGGUGAACCAAUUCAGCCCGGAUAUCACGAUAUACUUGUUGUAAACCAACUCAGAUUGCUUUUCAUGUAAUAACUGACUAAGAUUAGAUUCUAUCCGAUUGUAACCUUAGGUCGUCAAGCUAUAUAAGGUGGCAAGGGGCAUCCCCCGAGAAAUUCAUCCCACCUCACGUUAACUCUUCGCACCUGCUAUCGGCAAUACAAUCCACCAGAACACAGGACGUAAGGUAUUACUCUCCGGAGGCCCGAACAUGUCUCAACCUUGCGCCCCUGUGUUACCAUUCGAGUUCUUGAUCUUAUGAUCUCCCCCGCCUACAAAUCUACCACCUAGGUAACCCCCUGGUGGACUGCCGGUCACUAAAUCCGACACCCGAGAACCCGAUGGGUCUCACUUUUUGCCCAUUAAUAGACCCACGGGUAGAAAAAUUAACCCACGUCCAUGCCCUAAUGGAGUAUAAAUCCAUCAGGUUUCGGGUUUCAGGCACCCAUUGCCAUCUCUACUGCUCCUUGAGUACAGUAGGAAAGGCAGCUGAAACUGAACAAGGCAAAUCUCACCCUACUCCAAUGUCAAUGGAGCUGUCAUCUACUAGUUCAGGAAGAUUGUUAUGACAAUGUCAAUGCAUCAUACAGACAACACAACCAACUCAACCUUGUACGCUACACUUGUCGGGUUCAGAGCUACAGCGUCCCUUCUGCUUUGGCAUGCACAGUAUUAUGCCUUGUCAUUUCUAGCUCAUUAACAGGAAAUUAGCUAGCUGUGGCCUGUGGUGAAUAAAGAAUUGCCAUGGGUUCCAUUUUGUUUGGAUGCGUCCUGCCGACGGCGAUGGUAGGUGCUAGUCCUUUCCGAGUUGUAAGCCCGUCAAGUUAGUUAGUUGCUCUCAGAUGUAAAGACGAGAUCGAAAUUCUUUCAUGCCUUCUUUAGCCAAAGCUAAACUUGCAGUUCAGAAGGGUUCUUUGAGUUUUUAGUACAAACUGAUUUGAUGAACCAAGUAAUCAACAAAAGAGUAUGCCAUCUCUUGACCCUGACAAAUUGCCAAACACCAAGGUUCAACUGGUACAACCAUAUGCUAUCAUGUAAACAAGAGUACACGCAUCAGGUGUACCAAGGCUAAACAGGUGUGCAACCAGCAUAAAUUAAUCAUGUAAACAAGAGUACACGCAUGGAUUCUUCUCCUUCCUCAUAACAUCAAGUGCAAGUGCAAGUGCAAGCAGCCGGAUCGAGAUGGACAUGCAAACGGCGUGCGUGCAUGGGCAAGUGAAGAUGCCGCAUGGCUGCCAAUGCAACGUGCAUGCCCGAUCAUACGUGGAUCAACUGCAUCAGCCACGGCAAGCGCGGUAGAUUUGGUGUCUGUCUACUGCAUCGAUCAGCUCAAACCACCUGACGACCUUUGACCUUUUCUCGUUUCUUGAUUGAUCAAUCGAGCUAGCAGCUACGAGCUACCAACCCCAUGAACUAACAUGAGCUAGCAGCUACCAAUCCCAUGAGCUAGCAAGCUAUACCUAGCUAGAGUGAGGUAGUAGUUAGUAGGGGCCGGCCGGUUCUACGACGACAUACUACUACUACUAUUUCUGUCUAAAUUAUUUUUAGGAGAAGUUGCACCUUUUGGAGCAGGGUACCUCACGUCCAAGCAUUUUUUUUCCCUUCUUGUCCUUCCCUUCCCUUUCAUGAAACAAAAUGCAUGUGGCUAUAUAUAUAUAUAUAUAUAUAUAUAUAUAUAUAUAUAUAUAUAUAUAUAUAUAUAUAUAUAUCUUGUAUUUGGAAUUGUCCAGGAUUUUUCUAUUUAUUCAGCUCAUGAGUGGAAUAAGAUUAAUCACAAAGGCUGAACUACAAAUGGUGCCAGACAAAUUACGAAGCACGGUAAGUCUGCUUUACCUUACCAUUUUUCAAUUAUUUAUAUGGCACCAUCUAACCUUUGUUUCCAGCUGACGACGACCUUGAAUUGACUUUGCAGCUACCUUAAGGUGAUCGCGCUCUCUGUCAUAGCGUACGGUGUCUCUAUGGUAGUGAUCAUACUCAUGUCCUUCUGGUACACGGGCUGCUGGCUGAACAUCGUCUUCAUUGGUACACGGGCUGCUGUCCUCUAAUCGCACUAAAGACCAAGGUAAUUUAGUUCAUACUCGGAUAAAAUGCUAAGAAUUGGAAAAGGAGCAAAAUACUAAAUUUGACCUGUUGUCUAAUAAAUUAGGCCAAAUGGAUUCUACAUGGAGCCAGGGCUAGUGGGGGCGUACAGCGUGUUCCUAUGCUUUGCAGCAAUUAAAAGGUAAAAAAGAAAAAUAUUUAAACUGAAUUAUGAUUGAUGUGGCUCUAGCUAGCUGUUAGAUUGGACAAUAAUUUAUAUUACAACCCUGUUGUUUUCUUUUGUAUAUAUGUAGUGAGCCAGAGACGGACUGCUACAAGAAAGGAAAAGCCGGUGUAAAUUGGAAAACUUUGAUAGUAAGUACACUCUUUAUUCUUCCAUGGUUCCUAUCUACGUCUAGUGAUAUUUUCUCAAAUAUUUCAUUGAUAUUUCAACAUCGGCAGAGUUUUGUGGCUGAACUGAUCGGCACCACUUAUGCUGUUUUUUCGACGGGCAAGGACUACAAAUGCAUACAGGUAUGUUGUUCAUUCCAAUUGAACAAAUCGUCAAACCAAUGAAAGUUUGAAAUGACUUGUGUGUAGCACUUAAAUAAAAGAUUUUCUCAAACAUUUUUGCAGUUCAGAAACGUAGUAGAGUCUGAAGACGACGUACCAUAUGGUUACGGGUUUUUCCAUUUUGUCUUCGCUAUGGGCUCCAUGUAUUUUGGCAUGUUGUUUGUCGGCUGGGACACACAUCAUAUAAUGGAAAAGUAAGUUUGUACGGAAAUGUGAAUGCAAUGAAUAAAUCAAAAUAAUGUGUUGGUUCAUUAUUCCGAUCCUAGCUGCACAUGUGUGUGUGUAUAUAUAUAUAUAUAUGCCAACAGUAUAUUCGUGCGCUUGCGAAUUUAUUCAUGCAUUUCACCUCAGGUGGAGUAUUGAUGUCAGUUGGACGAGUGCGUGGGUGCAUAUCGUUAACGAGGGUCUAGCAGUAAUAUCCUUCGGUAAGUGAGCUUUAAUUUGCCUAGCUAAAACCCUCAAGCUCAUUGAGGUUAUCAAAUAAUUGGCCACAGCUAGCUUGCACCAAGUUUUGUUUUAUUUUUCCCCUUAAUUUGUCUUUGCUGCAAACUAAAGGAACACAUUAUAUAUAUUACAUACGGUAGCUGUACAAAUUAAUUAUGUUGACAGAUGAAUUGAUAUAUAUCUAACGUUUGCAUUAUUUGCAGUGGCGAUCCUACUUGCUCGAAUAUAUGGGAUAGGCUGGCUCCGGCAGCUGCUUGCACGGAUCUUUGGAAUAGGUGACCAGCACCAGCACCAGCACCAGCCGCCACCUCAUGAGAUGAACACUGCCGCCGCCGCCGCCGCAGCAGCAGCCAGGGCGGGGGCGCCACCUUCGCCGCCAUUGUCGCAGAGGACAGAGGAGAUCGACGACGACAUGGUCCAGAGCAUUAUCGACUCUAUCGACCAUGGGCCGCAACCUUCGCCGGUCGAGGAGCAGGGGAUCAUGUCUGCCGACACCACCGUCGUCCUGGGCAGGAACAUGAAUAGGAGCAGGAACAGGAACGACGACGCAGCAGGAGCAUCAUCAAGCAGCGCUGCUCCUGCUGCUGCCGCCGCCGGAGGCGGACGACGCAUGCCUACAAGGAAAGGGAUGUUCUUUUGCUUGUGCUUGCAAGGAACCUUGAUUUGUUUCGCUUCCUUGUAUUAUAUGCUGUAUACUCAGCGACCCAUCCAGUGAAUAAUGAUAUGUAUCAUUGCGUACCUCAGUUGAUUGCACAAAUUAAUAAGGGAGUGUCUAUUUAUUUAUCUGUCGAUGGAUUUUUAGAUGUAAAAUCUGUCGAAUUUUAUGAUGUUACAUAUGUUGUUCUCUAAUGUUGCAAAUGUUAUUCUUCAAUGUUGUAUAUAACUGAAACAUGACGUAUUAUGCAACAUGCGCGAGAAUAAUAUAUUGAAAUAUAGUAGAUAGCAUCUGUAACAUCACGAGAAUCUACCGCAUUUACUCCCCUAAAAUCACGAAGUAUUUUGAACAUCGAAGAAUAAUGUUUGCAACAUCAAAUGAUGAUAUUUGCAAUAUCAAAAAAUUCGACAGAUUCGACAGAUAAAUUGUAAAACUCAAUCAAUAAAGUUUUAUCAUUUCCACUUUAAUUGCUUGAAGGAGCAGUUUGCAAAACAACCGUCAGGCACCCAAUGGAAGAUCGAAGGCCCAGGCUCUCGGGCCCAUCGCUAUCCCUCCCAACAACCAAACCGGUUGGAAGGCAGAGUUCCGCUGCAGCCAGCAGCGCGGAGCUUAACGAAGAAUCCAAAGGGGACCAACCAGUGUUCAUUAAACGAUUAAACUAAUUACUAUUUAACCAAUGGAAAUUUUGCUUUGGCAGGAGGGCCAUGGCCCACUAUAGCCAUGCCUAAGCUCCGCCCCUGGCAACCAGCUAGGCACCGGCGAUGGGCAUCUGCAGCGUGUCAACGAGCUCGCUGUUUCCGGCGUGAGGCUGGUUCAUGGGAGAGUAUAUACUUGACGGCGAGAGCGCACCACAACAAGCGGAUUUCCUUGCCGUGCCUUGCUCCGACUCUAAACAGGUUGUUCAGAAUGAUUGAUUAUUCCACUACUUACACUACUGAAAAACUGAGCAUUCGUUUAACGCAUUAGUACCGGACGUCUGGUACUAACACCGUGCGUUAGUACCGGUCGUUAUGCACAAUGCCACCGGAGCUCCUUAGUACCGGUUUGGAGCCUCAACCAGUACCAAAUGGUGGCAUGUGGACCGCGUGGCCGAUACUAGAUUCCCUAGGAAGGGGGUGUUUAGGAGGAGGGGGCUUUUAGCCCGUCACAUCGAAUGUUUGGACACUAAUUAGGAGUAUUAAACCUAGACUAAUUACAAAACUAAUUACACAACCCCUAGGCUAAAUCGCGAGACGAAUCUAUUAAGCCUAAUUAGUCCAUAAUUUGACAAUGUGGUGCUACAGUAACCAUUCGCUAAUGAUGGAUUAAUUAGGCUCAAUAGAUUUGUCUCAUGAUUUAGCCUAGGGGUUCUGCUAUUAGUUUUGUAAUUAGCUCAUAUUUAGUCCUCCUAAUUAGUAUCCGAACAUCCGAUAUGACAGGGCUAAAGUUUAGCCCCUGUCUCCCAAACACCCCCGAAGUCAUUUAGUACCGACUAGUGGCUUCAACCGGUACAAAAUGGUGAGAAUGCCAUUUAUUACCAGCCAGUAGCAUCAAUCGGUACUAAUUGAAACCAGGUUGAAGCUACCAGCUAGUACUAAUGUCAACUAUUUGCUCUAUAAAUGAGCUGCUUCCUUAGCUUCCUCCUCGAGCAAGCUCAACCAUUUGCAAUAGGGAGAAUUUUUUAGAGUGAGGUGAAUGGGGAGUUUUUUAGAAUGAGUUUUAUAUUACAAAUGGAGUACUUAUUGAUCUUUCAGAACGAGAAGAAUGUGGAGUUUUUUAGAGUGAGGUAAAUGGGGAGUUUUUUAGAGUUAGUUUUAUGUUACAAAUGGAGUACUAGCUGAGGACUAAAUGUUAUAAACACAUUUACUCUAUUUUUCCCCUACCUAAUAUUGAUCAAGUUCUUUAUCUAAUACGUAGCUCUAUGUCCAUUUUUCACGUAAUACGAUGCAGAUGGUCCGAUAAUGAAUGUAACACCUCCGCUCCUCCAAUACUAGGGAACAGAAGAACUUCGAGUCCACAAACUCUGGCUGAACAUCAUAAAAGAAUCUUGAAAUAGUUUUCCAAACACCUUUUGGAGCCAGAUUUUCAUAAUAGAAGUAUGGUGGCUAAUAGUUGGUUCAUGCAGAGAUUUGUUCACUGACCUUGACCCAUCGGCUUACGGUUGGUUUUGGAUUGCCAAAAUAGGUCAUGCUCAGUGAACAUGUCUUUUUACUUGGACAGGCUAUUGGGCCACCAUACUUCUAUUAUGAAAAUGUGACACUUGCUUCAAAAGACGUUUGGACAAUUUCAAGAUUCCUUUAUGAUAUUCAACCAAAGUAGGUGGACUCGUAGAUCUCAUGUUGUACCAUUAUUUUAGGAUUGGUGUAUCUUUUAUCUCCCAAAUUACCGGUUGUGAUGUGGACGAUCCUAUGUUCUAAAUAUCUCAUAAUAUCUCAUUUAUGUAAGACUUAAUAUGUAUGAUGAAUUUUUAUCUCUACUAUUUCAUACAUAUAUAUGUAUAUGUAUAUGACAACCUUGUCAUAAUUAUCGAAACAAUUUAUUACAAUUAAACAUUUUCCAUAUGUAAUGUAUUUAGUUAAUAUCAUGAUGACAACAUUUUAUAGUAACAAAAAUAAUAAAACAAAAGACAUUGCACGUGUAAAAGGAAACUGCAGGAGGCAGACAGUUUAAGCUCCCGCCGUUUUAGCAACUUUAGUACCAGCCGUGAUCUGGAACCGGUACUAAAUGCCCCAAUUUUCUGCUCCCACCAUUUUAGACCAUUUAAUACCAGUUAGAAGCCCUACCCGGUACUAAAUGGAGCAAUUUAGUACCAGGCGAAGGGCUAUAACCGGUACUAAAUGUCUCACCUACAAAUACUUCAUCUUCUCCAAACACCUAGUGGUUUCCAACAAGCCGCAAUUAUUCCUCCCUUCAUCCCCAGCUCCACCGCCCGUCACCACCAUCCCCGGCUCCAUCGCUCGUCAUCGUCGCCCUAUCCCCGACCGCUGCCACCCCCGUCCCUGGCCGCCGUCCCCAUCGUCGUCGCCCCGUCCCUGGCUCUAUCAUCGUCGCCCCGUCGCCGUGGAGACUACAUUUUUGAGGAGCCACCGAUGGCUCGUCCUCCAGGAAUUCACUUAAUCGCGUCAUUGACUUGCCAAAAGGCGAUCGAAGCAAAGGAGCAAUUCCCAACAUAGUAAUAUUCUUUCCUUCUUGUAAUUAGUUUUUUCGCUACACAUGAAUAAUUCCUAAAUUUACUUACAUACAAUGUAGCUUAUCGACAAUAUUAGAUGGCUGAAAGAUAUUGUCAAAGCUCUAGGUGGUACUUCUCCUUUAGUGCAAUCCGAGAUAGUUGGUCCAUGGAAUUUUAAAAGAGUAAAAAUCUCUUUUCAAGUACCUGUUCGAAAAACAUAGGUCAUCUGGCUGAGAGUACUAGGAUAGCCCAUCCCGAUGAUUUCAAUUGCCGCAUGGGGUCAAUUAGCACCAAGUAGGGUAACUUUUGAAAGGAAUGUUGCGGAGGCCUGCCUAGAAUAGCUUAAGGAUCUUGGGUACUUUGUGCCAGAAUUCUCAUAUUUUUGAAUAAAGGCACUCGAGGAGGGAGAAAGCAAUAUGACUAGGACUACUGAGAGGUUUUGUCAGCUGAAUCAACAUGACAUGGUACGGAACAUAUCUAAUCAUCCUUUUUUUAAUUAUAUUACAUCUUUUAAAUUUCAUCACAUUAUUCUCUUCUUUUAGGAUGUCUUUGGUCAAACCUUGGCAGCAAUGAGCUUUCAUGCGAUUCUAGCUCAAGUCUUGGAUGUGUUAAAUUAUAGUUACACUGAUGGAAAUCUGAUACGCACCAGAGAUUUCAAGCUCCAGGCUCAUCUCACUUUCUAUAGACCAUUUCAGUUGACGUCAUCUCCAUUGUUCGAGAUUUAUGGUAGUGCAUGCGACCGUCCUUGUAAAGCGUUAGAGUGCACUAAUUCAUGCUCUAGCUUAUAUUGAAGAAGUUCUAGACUUUAAAAUUGGAGACUUAAGCUAUGUGGCAUAUCUAUAUAAGCGAAGCGAAUUAUUAAAUAUGUAACAUGCAUGGACGUACUCCUACCGUACCCUUUUCUUAUGGAUUUGAACUUGUUCUCUCUAAGACCUUAAGUAUUGAUGUACGAACUAUUGAGUAUUAAUGAUUUGAAUGGGUUGAUACUUGUCAUGCUUAGAUUUGAAUGGGUUGAUAUAUUAAUGUAAUAUUAUUAGUAAAAGCUCCGUUGGAUAUGAAUACGGAUUAAAACAAAAGGGUAAAAAAGAAAAAGAAUAAACUUUAGUACUGGUUAGUAAAACCAACUGGUACUAAACUGCCAUCCGUGACUCGCAGUCUAGUACCGGUUGGGUUGACCGGUACUAAAUAUAGUACCGACCAAACGAUACCGAUCUACUACAAGGGUUACCAGACCGGUAGUUAGAAGUCGAUCCUCCAAUACGUAGUAGUGUUAUGGCAUUCUCCUCGGAUAUACAUGUAGCUUACAACAACACCCCUUUAGGCGCUAAUAAGGGGACAAUUGCAGUUGCAGUUUUGGCCUAGCCUUUUAAUUGUACAAGAACGUACGUAUUUAGAGCGAUCUGCAUGCUCUUGGUAGUCUCUGUCAGGUAAUUACUUUGUGGUCACUACUAGUAUAAUACAAUAGCAUAAAAUUAUUUUUGCUUCAACUAGCAUAUGCAUGGUUCUCUUGUUAUUUGUUCGAAUACGGACGCAGCGAGGAAAUUGUUUAAAUUCAACUUUCUGGACUACUAAUAAGGUUUUUUUAUAUAUAUAUCCUAGCUAGCUUCUCAACAUCUGCUUGUGGCGAGAAGACCGUGCAUGUCAACCGCAUGCACGGCUGACGGCGGCAGCCGGUGCAAGUGCAACUGCAAGCAGCCGGAUCGAGAUGGACCUGCAAACGGCGUGCGUGCAUGGGCAGGUGAAGAUGCCGCAUGGCGUGCCAAUGCAACGUGCACGGGCUGUGCUGCAUGUCGGUGUGUCUUCUCUGCACGUACGUUACGUAUGUACGUGUGUGAGGAUAUAAAGAGGGGCUCAGCCUCAGCUCAUGCAUGGUGCAUGACUUGCAUUGCGAACGGCGUGUCUACGAGGCCUUACUUCCUCCCAUCCCAUCCUCUACCGUACGUGCUUCCUACUCCUAUAUAAGCUAAGAGAGAGCUAGCUAGCGUGGCCAUGUAUCCUAUCUCCACAUUGUACACUAGCUACACAAUGAAUUGAACAGUAGUUCUCCAUGAUCGAUCGAUCUACCUCCACGUACGUACAGUUGCUGGCACGGCUACUGUGGACCGGUCACACACCUGGCCACUUCUGCACCCAUGUAUGUACUCGUCCAGCUGACAUCCACAUUCCGCCGUGUGCAGAAGUGGAGUGUGGAUGUCCUGGACGAGUACACGCAUGGGUGCAUAUCGUUAACGAGGGUCUAACUGUAAUAUGUAUCCUUUGGUAAGUGAGCUUUUCCUAGCAAGUAACUGGACACUGCGUGUACAGCCAUGCGCUUGCUGCACCAAGUUUCGUUUUAUUAAUUUUCCCUUUAUUAUCUUUCUUUGCUGCAAAUUAAAAGAAAGGAACCAAUUAUAUGGCAGAUGAAUUAAUGUUUGCAUUUGCAGUGGCGAUCCUAGUUGAUCGCAUAUACGGAAUAGGUUGGCUCCGGCAGCUGCUUGGACGGGUGUUUGGAAUAGGGGGCCAGCAGCAGCAGUCUGAGAACCACGACGACGAGGAGGGCAUCCGUGGGCCGCCACCUUCGCCCAAGACCACAACACGUCAGGCAGGCCCAGGAGAUCGCGAUUUGGUUUUGUAAUUAGGGGGGAAUGCUUAAAAAACAAUCAUUUUUUUUUGGUAAGGACUCAUAUGUUAUGUUAUUAAUGGAGCAUCUAUCAUUACAGAAAAGGUGUCCUUUGUGACACCAAUAGAGACAGACAACAUAUGACCUUUUCUGCAACUUCAUCUGCAUCAGCUGCGUCGAAGCCGGAGAUGAAGCAGAGGCAGCCCCAGCACACAUGUAGUGUCCGGCGACAGCAACUACCGUACCCCAGCACACGAUCGAGCACAAAGUCGCUGCUGCUUCGGAAUAUCCAUCACAGGGCUACCUGCCAACCGAAUAUCAUCCAUUCCAUCCAUCGAGUUCAGUACCAACUCAGGUUCACAUCAUCCAUCAACAAGACAACGCAAAACAACUCAACGUUUUACACUCCUCCGAUUCAGGAACAAGAGGAGGAAGAGACUUCUAAGUCUUAACAGUUUCCUGCUCACUUGAUUGUCAGAAGCUACGUCAAUUCAUUCACCAUGUCAACAUUGUUCUACACAGUCAUCUAUCAGAGAACAAUGGCGGAGCAGUAGCAUCUCCUGCCAAUUGACUUCAGACCGGUAGUCACCCAGCCACAACCGUCCUUGUACCGCUCCACCUGACCACAAUUGUACAGCCCCAACAACAAAGGCUUUACUGUUAGUCACGCCACAAUUGUACAGGAAAUACGAAAAUGAUAAAAGCAGGUGUUUAAGGAAUCCAAGAAUCCGUAUUCCAAUGAAAUGCAGUAGAAACAUCCACGCGAGACUGCAUGGUGUGGUAACAAAUGAUAUAUGCAGUAGUGACAAGAAAGCAAAAGUAAUGAAAAUAAGUAAACAUGUCAAUGCGAGGCCGAUAUGAUAACAAACGAUUAUAUGCAGAAUUUGUCUCUAGGUGUAGGUACCUACCACAUCCAAGAUUGUAUCUGCUUCAGCUUUCACCCCACCAAAUGUGAAUAUCGAGCCACCAAGCACAGCUGAAGAAUGGUAUCCUCUGGUGUAGUUCAUGGGUUCAACCAUCACCCAUGAAGGCAUCCUUGGCUCGUACACCUCGACGGUAGCUACCAUUGCUUUAGCCCCAGUAUCAUAACCACCAAUUGAGAAUCUGGAACAAAAUACAAAGACCAAAUUACAUCGGCAAAAAGAUAUCAUACACCCUGAUGCACACCUACCUUUGAUUUGCUGGGUACUACGAGUUCUACAACAUUUCUUUUUAAAAUGGAACAUUCUAUGCAUCUUCAGUUCAUCGUUCUAACGUACUAGAAAGAAAGAGCUACAAACUUACAUCUUCUCGUUAAGCACUGCAAGCGUAUGACAGCCCCUUCCUGCACUCAUCAUUGGGAGCAUUUUCCAGUUAGGCUCCCGAGGAUCAAGCCUCUCUGCAGAGCUGGCAACACACAUAACAAAGUUAGCAGAAAAGUUUUCUUGCAUCCUUCUCACUUGAAAGAGAUAAUGAUUUCGCUAACAUGGUAGCAAUAGAGAAUAUGCUAAUGCAUAUUUUGUGAAAUAAUUUGCUUCAUUCGUAUUUACACUAAGCCUUAAGCCAACACAUGAGCUGCGUUUCUACCAGAUCAAAACUGAACCAAUCAAGUGGUAAGUACAUGCAGGAAAAAGGACAGCACCUCAGGUACUGAACACCGUUGAAGCCACCAACUGCAUAAAUUGCACCAUUAAGUGCUACACCAGCUAGAGCAAAGCGCUGAAAAACAGAGUGACAAAGUCAUUGAGACUAAAAAACUCACCAUAUUAUGCAGAGAUUGAUGUGUUAGAAACAAAUAUUUUUCCAAAAAAAGACAGUACAAGAAUUGAAAUGGAAUCAGGAAUUGUUUUGCAUCAUUGCAGAAUUACACACUUUUCCAUGAGUAGAUGAUUAUUAUUUCCCCUGGUUGUUUGUCUUAGGCAAAUUUGUGUACAUUCCGCUAAAUGUUACAGUAGUGUACUAAUAUAUGAGGGGUAAAAAUGUUAUCUAAGUUUAGACCAAAUGUACACAGGAAAGUGAUACUGCUACCUUUUCCAGCAUAGUUUGAUUCUUUAUCCACUUUCCAUGAGUAGGAUCAAAUAUCUCAACGUCAGAGAAACAUUGACUUCCAUCUCCACCACCGAAUGCAUAGAUUCUCCCAUUAACACUAACACCAGCAAGGCUCCCCUUCUCAUGAGUCAAUGAUGGGCAUGUGAUCCAGUCAUCACGGCUUCGGUCAUAACAGUCAACUUCAUGCAAAAGAUAAAUGCAGAAUCAGGACAGAAAUUGAGAUCCGACAGCUCAAGAUGGAAUUAAACUUAGAAACCAAUAACUAACCUGUAUCAAACCAGCAAGCACCAUCACCACCACCAAGAACAAAUAUCUUGCCAUUUAAUGCAACAGUAGAGGCAUAUGACUUCCCAACAGCCAUUGGUUUGAGAGGUGUUAGUAUGUCCAGUGAAGGGGAAAAGGAGUCUAGUGAUGGCAAAAAUGAGAUGCCAUCAAAACCACCAACUAGAUAAAUGACAUCUUCUGAGCCCAAACAUUGUUCAACAAACUGGUUAAGUGAAUCAUCUAGGGUUAAAGGGUCUAUUUUUGAAUUCAAUGUCCUCACUGUGCCCUUUAGUUCCACAAUUCUUUUCAGUAACCUCUCAUUCACCCCUUGUAAGUGUUGGACUUCUCGGUUGGACCAAGCCUGCAUUUUGAACAUAAAUUAGAUACGAUCACCAAGAAAGAUCGAUUUUCUAGGACUUCAAUGCUUUAGUCAAUAACAAAUGAUAUUCCUCACCAGAAUUAACAAACUUAAUUUAAAGUAUAAUCAUUAGGUUAAACACUAGCUAGAUGCAAGACCAAUUUAUAACUGUCAUGCCUCUGUUCAUACAGAGCCUGCACCUAACCACCUAAUAAUUAUCUUAACAGGCCAACUAACUGAUCUAAUAUCUCUCCAAAUUCUCUUGACGUGAAGGAUAGAUGGGCUGGCCCUCCGGCCAUCCAUAACAGAAGCAUAAUGGGAAAAAAAUCAUUUCAUUUGGCCCUGCCUUACUUCUUUGAUUUCUAGUAAGCAAGUAGGCGUGAUACCACUUGCUUUAUUCUCUUGGUUCCUACUUUUAAUGCCUUUUCAUGCUAAAGAAUAUCAAGACAUCUCUUAUGAAGUGCAAUUGCUGGUCUAUGUUGUGCAUAUAACAAUUCCUAAAUUUAAGAUUGCAUGGUUCAGUAUAACAAAUGUAAGGCAUUUCGAGAGGUUAUAGCAUAUCAGAAGAGACCUGCUUCCUCUCCAUCAUCUCUAUGCGCCCAGACAACUCUUUAACUACAUCUAUCAGCUGCACAAAUAAAAUUAGUGUGAGAAAUUUGGAAAUGUAGACAAGAAAAAAAAAACUCGACCUGUGGGGGGUAAGACAGCCCCCGGGUAUUUUGCUAAGAAGAAGACCUUCUCACGCAGGUCGAGAAAACCCCCGAACCCCUACCCCACCCUUACACAGCAAGACUAAAUGAAGUGACACAAAACAAGGAUGAUAACAUGGGAUGCCGCUAUCAGCUGAGUUCAGAGUUCUAACCUUAGCUUCUGCACAUGAUUCAGAGUCUAAUAACUGCACCAGCAAAUUAGAAUGCCCCAGGGAGAGCUGAUUAACUUCAGCAUCUAAGGUUUCUGGCAAAUUAGAGUGUCCAUCCAGAAUUGUGCAUUUGUCCUCUUGGGCAUACUUACAGCUAUAAGCAUCGUUUUCUUCAGUCUCAGUAACAUUGGCAUACAGAUAAGGAUUCCACUGCUGCGCAGGCAAAGCUGCAUGCCCUUCUAACACCCAGUUGAAGCUAAGCACUUUUCCCUGCUUAUCAGAAUGUUGUUGCUGUUUCAUUUCAACCGCCUGGUCUGAUAGUUCAUGCUCCUCCCUCUCUGGUGGUGUGUCCCCACAAUCCAGAUCAUCAAAACCAUUAGAAGAUUCAUCACCUGAGCUUGCAUGUUCCGCAUCCACAUCUCCUUUCCCAACUUCCUCAAAUUUAUUCUUCUUUACCAUAUCUGCAUAUGACUUUACAACCUUUUCUGAUUUGAACUUCCCUUCAUGCUUUGGUGCCCAUACAGGUGAUGAUACUAAUUCUCUCACAUGCUCAUCAGCCGGUGCUGCAACAGGGGUCAUCCAGAAAUUGUUGGGAGGAGAUGGAGUAAACAUAUCCAUCAAAACACGUGUUUGAGCAUGAUCCAAUUCAAACUGGAAAUAAUGAAGCUUCUGGCCAGGGAUACUGGGCGUGUUCUUCUGAUAGUAGUUGGCUACAAUAGCAUUUCUGAACUGAUUCUCUGCUAGCGGGAAACACCACACCCUUACCCGCAUUGCAACCUAAACAAACAAAAGGGCAUUAGCAUGCACAUAGAGGUCAUUUCAUUGAGAGUCAGUAAGAAAAUGGCAUUCAAAGAUACAGAAAGAAGGGAUUGUACCUGGGCAGGAUAGCUUGUCUUUCCCUGGCCAUCAUUUGACCAUGCAUUUGAUUCAGGACAGAACUUACCAUUGCCAGCAGCUUCAUAGAUGCCAUACAAUUUGCGAUCAUCAUAAUUGAAUAGGAAGAGAGGUAGUCCUUCCUUAAUGUUUCGUACAUAGGAGAUAUGUGCUCUUGGCAAGCCUGAAACACGACACAAGAUGGUUACUACCUAACAAGUUGCUAUUGUUUGGGAGGCAUGGCAUAUCUUACCCCCUCACAGGAAAAGAAAACAGAUGCAUUAAAGGAGUAGCUCAGCUUUGUAGAUACAUAACUUAGAGAAGAGUCGUGAUUAAGAGAAAUCAAGAGCAUACCGAAAAGUUGCCGCGAGUGACACUCUGCAAUUGUAUUGUUUGUGCAACCAAAUAUCACAGCUCCAAGAUCUUGUGGUUGGAGGUUUCUUGCGGAAAUGGACAGGUUUGUCGGCCUGGUGCUUUUCACAACCUGGCUCCACGAGGAUUUGCUCUUCACCAUUGUAACUGAUGCUAGCAAGUUGAGAAACAAAAGGAAACAGAUAAAUAGAGUGCACUCUUCUCUGUAUCUUCGGUGUUUGCAUGCUUGAUGCAUGAGGCAAGAAAAGGUAAUAUUAUUUGGGAACUACCGGAAACUGUAAUUUUUUAAAGAUGAUGAAAGGACAGAGCAAAGUAGAGUACUAGAGUCACAAUUACUACAGUUUGGUGUUAUCAAAUCAAUGGCUAAGCUUGUUGUCCACUAAAGUUGAAGUAGAUUCUCAGUUGCUGCACAGUAUAUUUGCAGACUUAUUUCUGACUGACAACAAAACAAGAAGGCAACAGAAUUAGGUACAUCAGCAUACCAAAGCGUGUGUGUGUGUUUUAACAAAAGCGUAGCAAAGUGAGGUAGCCCUUUUCUGAGAUGAUUUUUCAUAUCAAGAUCAUCACAUCCUCUCAGCCAAUUUUGCACCAUUUAGUUAUAAUAAUGUCGACUGAAGCUUAACCAUGUGAAAUAUGGACAUUACAUGGUCAGGGCCUCAGGGCAGUAAUAAACUUGCACAUGGAGAUAAAGCAAGAAACAGAGGUGGAGUCAAGAAAGAGAUACGGUUGCAUUUGUUGGAGAUGGAUUGGAGUACCAAAAUCAGUUGAAUCAAUGCCUGAGUACUAGAUGGGAUCAGUACAAUUUCCCAGUCCUCCCACAAGAUAAGUUUUUUUUUUCUCGUGGGGCUGCAGGGCAAAAUUACAGCAGGAACCAAAUGAGCUGUACAUGAAUAAGGCACUAAUAAUAAUUGAGCAAAGAUGAGGCAUGCGAAACCAAUGAGGAGGCCACGGAAAAAACAAGUUGUACAUGAAGGCACUGGUAAUUGGGCAAAGUUGAUGUAUACUGUACUAUUCAGCAAGGAACCGCAAACUACUUGGGGGAAGAAAAACAAGCAAGCAAACAAAAAAAAACCCUCUCCACAAAACCCUGUUCUGUUCAGGGGGGCCAGGAUGAAUGCCCUUCGCACAUAGAUGGCUGACGGCUACAUACAUGAUACAUUGCAUAAUCGGAGAGUAUAAGGAGCGAAAUCCCACCCCGAAUCAUGAGCGCACGCACAGGGAGCAACAAUCAUCAGUAACAAAGGCCGGCGGGGGCAUGAUCGAUCGAUGGAUCGAUACCCGCUACAGUAAGAGAAGAGCAGCCCACCCAAAUUGUGGGGUUUUGCGGUCGGUGGAGCAAAAGCAAGGAUGUGGGGGGGAAUGCGGUUUGGGGUAGUGGUACCCUACCUUGAAAUCGCUCUGCUUUUGCUGUGGUUGCUUGCUCCAAGCAGGGAAGAGGAGGAGGAACGGGGGGGCGAUCGCCAACUGCACUGCACUGAAAUCCUCCUGCUGGAGCGAGCGGACUGCUCCGACGAAGGGCUUGGAGGAGUGGACUGCUCCGCCUCCGGCCUCCGCUUGCGUUGUCGUGGUGAUUGGUGAACAAGGGAACGAGGAUUCCAAGCAAGCAAGGGCGAUGGGAGAGGGGUCAAAGUAAAAAGUCUGGCUGGCAGGGUCGGGUGGGUAGAAAAGCGAUGCCGCUUUUACUGCUGUGUGUGAUGCGUGUCUCAGUAUCCAUGUCAGGAGAGAAACAACAAGGCCUGGCCCACCCGAUAGCCUCACAGGCUCCUGCAAAGGAAGCGGUUUCCGUUGUGGGACCCGCAGGCCCGCUGCUACGGCCCAUGGGCUAAGCCCUGCUUCAGUUUUCUCCUCCUCUUCUUUCAUUACCAGCUUCUUUCUUUCUUUCUCUGUUGGGUUUGAGAACUGAAUGAACUGAACGCUCAAAUCCCAGGGAUCAACCAUAAUUAACAAACCAUAACACAGUCUGUCUGAUUAGUCCAGCCCCAUUGAGGAUCAUGCACAAACUGAGACUGCAUUGUAUACUUGUUUCCACGAUUAGCAUACGAGAAUCAACACUGACGUAUCAUCCGACCCUGCAUUUACAUCCACAUGGCAGCAAUGUGAUGCUGCCUUCAAAAUUCCAAACCACUAUGCAUAUGUCCAUCACAACUCUCAGCAAAUCAAAAUAAACACAAGAACCAUAAGCUCAACUGCUCAAGGCAUGGCAUGCACACGUCAUGUGAUGUUUUGCUUCAAAGUUGAGCACUGUCCUGUUUCUCCACACCUCUCUCCACAUUCUCCAUUGCCUGCUGCACUGUUGACACAAUGACAAGGGAAAAUGACGGCAGCAAAAUAGAAAAACAAAAGUACAGUAUAACACUCAUCUCCCUAACUCAGUUAUUGUAAAGCCAAUGCUCCAGUGUGCACAUAAUUUUAGCUAGGCCAGUUCCAGUGUGCACUUCCAAAGGCUAUACCUUUUUGACACAUGCGGCUAUAAUGUCCAUUAGAAAGACUUUCCUAUGAGCCGGUCAUCAUACGACCAGAGUAAGCUUUUUAGGAUAGGAUCCUCUGCCGAGGCUACCCUCUUACUCACUGGUCCAACCUUAAUUUGUUGCUAGACUCACUUUAGUUAUUUUUUUAUGUUGUUUUUAAAAGUACUCUCACUCUUCCCCGUAGAAUUUGUGUAUCAUGAUAUGAAUUAGUGUACAUGGGGCUCAUGACAUCAAGGAGGGCUUAAAAUCAUUAGAAUGAGUUAAACAAGGAAAUAAAAGAAAUAUGCGAAAUUCAUAAGGUAAACAAGUUAUUAUCUUGGUUUAUUUUAUUAAUAAGCUUGGGAUCAAAAUAUGAUGAUGAUUUGUGGGACUUGCCUUCCUCGUAGUCGGGGUCUUUUAAAGCUUCAUCUUCGUAAUCUGGGUCGUCAAACACGUUUCUGGAGUUGUCGUUUUCUACAUAAUUGUAGUAUACGUAAGGAAAUUAAUCAAGCAAACAAUCAUAGCAGUACAUCAAACAUAAGUUAAAAGGGCAAAGUUGGGGUUUAUAAGGCUUGGGUAAUUUUCUAGGAUUAAUUUGGGAUGGUUUUUCCUAUUUUGGCCAUAUAAAAUAUGGACCUUUUUAUUAUAGAAAAAGGGAUGGAGAUUUAUUUUAGGAGCUAUAGGGUUGAGAUUUGGGUAAAGAUGGUAUGUCUAGGCUUGAAAUGGGUUCUAAUCUUUUUGGUGAAUUUUUGAAGGAAAGAAAUAGGAAAGUGGAAUUUUGGUGUACGCUAGUGGAGCUUUUUUCAAUUGGCUGGAAAGGGUUGAAUUUAAUUUCUAACAUUAAUAAUGUGCAAAAGGGAUUUGGAUGAAUUUGUUGGGUUUGUGGAUUUGUCUAGUAUUUGUGGAUAACAGUGUCUGUGCUUACUACUAAGAUGGAGGUGUCUGUGCUUACUACUAAGAUGGAGAAGAAAUCAAGCAUAGGAUGGGAAUGAGAUUGGUACCUUGGCGGGUCUCGAGCCUCAGCCGCUGUCUUCAGUUGGGACAAGAGCGUGUCCACAAAAGUGCUUCCAAUACUCGCGCCGCUAUCGGUCUAGACAUCUUUGAUGUGGUUGCGGUAGUAGGACUCUGCUCCUCCAGCAUUACCUUGCCCCCUCCUUUUGAAGUAGGAGUGGCCCCUGAGUAGGAUGACAAGCUCAGGGUGAGCCCUGCUGAUGUCGCCUCGAUGUCAACCGCAGCAUUUACAGCUUCUCCGUUGUGAACCAUCACGGCCAGAAUCUCAAGCACGCAAUCCCACUCCUGUUGACGCAAACAGUCCUGCAAGUCAUCAGCUCCAAAAUUUACAGGGUAGAAGAACAAGGAGGUGAAUGGAGAGAUUGUUUUUGAAAGAUGAGAUGCAUCACACAUAUUUACACAAUGGUUGUUUCUCCAGCAUCAAUCCAUGCAUAAUGUUGCAUAAUCAGAUUGCAGUGUGGAUUAUGUGACCAUGAUAAAUUUUAGAGCAGGGUGAUGGCGAUGGAUUUUGUCACUUUGUACAAUUCUGAUCCAGCAGUAGCAAGGCAACAACGAGCUGUAUAAUGCAGUAGCAAAUUUGUCACUACAUCUAGAUAGGAGGGAAUUGCAUGCGUUGGAUUACGAUCCAGCAGAGUCAAAGUGAAAUUCAAGCAUAAAACAAGUUUGGAUCCACCUCUCCAUGCAACAGCAGAGUUAUUAAUUGUUUAUCCAUCAAUCCAUAAUGCUAUACAUUCAAAUUGCAAAUGGCUUGCAUGGAUUUUAGCACAAGGUCACUCAACAGGGUGUAACUAUCUGUCUAAUUUUGGUCACUUGAUGCACGAAUUGAAUUUGUGAUGGAUUUCAUCAUCACUUGAUCUACGAAAUUCAGAUCCAGCAGCAAGCAUAUUGAAUGCAUAUACGUACAUACAACACAGAGAUUGAAUUGGUAGCUGGCUGGUACAUCUAAGCUAGCACCAACCCGGCCAUGAAGCAGUAAGGAGGGCAGUGCGUGCAAUGCAAUCGAUGCUACGCAAGCAGUGCAACGGAGGAACGCAAUUCCACGCAGCUUGCAUGGCACCGCAUGCACGAAGAGAAAUAUGCAAUCACCUGCCGCUGCCUUCGUCGUCGUCAGCCAUCCAGGGGGCCUGCGCUCGGUAGCCCCUGCUGCAAAUCCCGUCAGGUGGCGAUCAUCCUCUCCGUCCGGCCAACUGCUACGCCAACAACAAUAUUAAUGCAGAUGAGUCAAACAAUAUAUAUAAUCCGCCACAUGAUCGAAGAAGCACGUACGACAUCUGAGAGGGGGAGGGGGAGAGAGAAGAGCUAGAGAGAGGAGAGAGAUUGAUCAUCUCGAGACGCACGCCGGACGGACGCGAUCGAUCAGCAGGAGAGUCGAGGACGACGAGCGGCGGCGGUGCCGUGCGUGGUUUGAUUUAAUUGUUCGUAACUCUUUUAAAACCGUUUAUACCGUUAUGUUCCUUAUGUACAAAAUAAGACCAGGAUUGAGUAUAUUUAGAAAUUAUUUUACGUAACUGUCAACUUAUGGUGUAUAUAUACUACCAACUUAUAUAUCAAGUAUGUAGCAGACUAUUUGACAACUUAUAUGGAGACAAUUUAACAAAUUAUGCAGAGAUCAUGUAUCAACUUAUUUAUAGAUUAUGUAGCAACUUAUAUUGCAUGUCUAAUGUCGUUGAUCAAAGUUAUACAGAGACAAAUGUAACAACUUAGAUAAAGGUUGUGUACACCACUUUCGCGUAGCUAAAAUAACAAUUCAUGUAAAGAUAAUGUAGCAACUUAUGUAGAUACUUCAUGUAGGUAAUGGCAUUGGAUUCAAAAUUAUUCACGUAGAAACUUACAUGUAAAGUUUGUUUGGAGGUUUGAAUAUAAGUUGCUACAACUUGAUACAGACCAUAAUAUAAGUUGACAUUCCGUAAAAUUAAUCCAAAACAUAUGUAUCAUGGAUCUUGUCUUAUAGAUUUCAUCGUAACUAACAGGACGGUGCAAUCAGAUUUGAAAACGGUCACUCCAUAAGAAAAUUAUGACAUUUCAAAACUUCAAGCACAAUUAGCAUAUUUAUUCAUCCUCAUGUCCACAGGCCACGCGGGAUCAUGAGCGCUUGCGCAAGCACAUGGGCCAGGCAGAUAAAGCCUCAGUCGCCACAGGCCGCGGGCCGUGAGGGUCGCGCCCUACGACGUGAGCGCGACCCCACACGAGGAGGCUUUUUUCUUCCAAGAAAAUUAGAAUGACUUCCAAUUUGAAAUGAUUUCUUCCAAUAUAUAUGAAUUAAACCGGUAAUGUUUCUUGAUGAAUUUAAUGCCUGUAGAGGUACACAGCUAGGCUGUGGUGAUAACAAAUGAUAUGGAUUGGUACAUGAAUAUUCCAAAAUAGUUAAUCAGCACCAGGUAAGCAGAUGAUGGAUGACCAAAACUUGAAUCUGCAAGUGUUAAUAAUGCUCUGAGUGCCCUCCCCCUCCCCUUCAGCAGAGUGGGAGGUCCGGUGGAGGUGCCUCGAGAGACUGCAGCUCCCCAACGCCGUCCUCCACGAGGAACGCCAUGGCGAGUCCCCAGGUGAUGUGCACGUCCAGAUGGCAGUGCAUCAGCCACACCCCCGGGUUGUCCGCCACGAACCGGAUCACGGCCCACCCGUUCACCGGCACGCCCACCGUGUUCCUCAUCGGCGGGUCGUCCAGGUUGAACUUGGCGGUGUCGGUGGCGGCGUCAAAGUUGCCGAAUCCCUCGGCCAGGAUGUAGAAGUCGUAGCCGUGGAUGUGGAUGGGGUGGUUCUCGCCGGCGAAGAUGUUGGUGCCCUGGAGCACCAGCUGCACGGCGGCGCCGUACUUGAGCCUGUACACCUUGGUGCCGGGCGCCGGCUGCCACAGCGCGCGGCUCACGUUCUGCGCCGUGUAGUCGAACUGCACCGGCGGGUUCGCCGGGAAGUCGGCGGUGAACACGCCCUGCUGCGCUCCGCCGUAGUGCGCCUGCAGGAUGGACACGGUGGACGGCAGCACGAAGGAGACGUUGUUCAUGCUCGCCGCGAACCGCGUGUUGUUGGGCCCGCCGCAGGUCUGCCCCCUGGAGCAGUUGAACAGCCCGACGCCCACAGUGAAGAAGAGGUUCUCGUCCACGCGCGACGGGAGCUCCGCCUUGCGCAGGCCGCGCAGGUUCGUCGUGAACGUCGUCGCCGUCGCCGUGUCGUUGUACGCCGGGAGCGUCGGCAUGGCGGGGCUCCUGCUGCCGCUGGAGGAGGAGGAGGAGUAGUCGAAGAUGGCGGUGGUGGUGGUGUUGUCGAAGGGGACACCCUGGGCGCUGGCGUAGGCGCGGGCGGCGAGGUAGUACCGGCCGGGCGGCUGGUCGAAGGUGACGAGGACGUCUGUGGUCUGGCCGGGGGCGAUCAUGAGCACCGACGUGGAGUAGGGCUUGGUGUAGGAGGCGUCGGCGCCCACGACGGUCAUGGUGUGGCCGGCGAGGGAGACGAAGAGCUCCGUGUUGAGUGCGGCGUUGAUGAAGCGCAGCAGGUUCGUCUCGCCGGACUUCACCGGGAACGUGGUCGUGUCCUUGGACGAGCACCUGUAGAGGUCGCCGGGCUGGCCGUUGACGGUGAGGGCGUCGGAGAUGUUGGGCGCCGCGCCGGUGCGGGUGGCCGUGCGGACCACGUCGAUGGGGUUCAUGUCCCACCAUUCCCCUGCACGCACGGUCCCAUGAGCCAUGGCAUUAUUGGUAAAUCCGUUGAAACACAGUUUUAAUCACCACUAAGAAAAAAACGUUUGUACAUGUUCGGUUUCUUAUGUCAAAUCCGUUGAAUUCUUUGUCAAAGAUGACCGUGCAUUACUUCUACGGAAUUUUGCUAAACUAAUUUUAGUAAGGAUUUAUGUAGCUUCAUUACCUUUUUCAAACAUUGUGGCAAUCCUGAUUUUGAUUGACAAUAGAUGAUGAAUAAAGUUUUAGAAUGUGCUUAGUUUUUCCUUCUUCUGAAGGAAGACUAGUCUCAUCAAAACCCAAGGUUAUAGAAGGGGUACAUGCAUGCAUGUUAGGCCUAUUGUGGAAUGUGGGCCAUAAUAACAGCCAGCCCAAAGAAAAGUAAGCAGCCUAAUGAUGCAAUUUUGAUUAUGCAGCUUGAAAAGUAGUAGAUGGUAAGCAAAAUAAAGACCUAUGCAGAUGAAUUUAGUCUACAAAGCCCUUUUGGAAGGAAGGGAAAUUAUUUCAGUUUCAGGCAACUGAAGCUGCUCUUGUUCCAAAUGAGCUGAGACAACUCUGAAACAAGUUGUUUGCCUUUCGGAACGCUUCAGAGGCAAGUAUAACCUUUUUAUUUUUUUGCAUUGGCAGCUGAUGAACUUAUUGUUGAUGAACGAAGAAAUGUACUAACAUUAGCAUAGGCAAGGUGCCUUAUUCGUCCUUACAGUAUGCGUCGAUCUAGUGACCCACUAGGGGACAUAUUUUUUGGUAUGAGAGUUGUUGGACCCCACAAGUCAGUGGCACGGCUCAUGAGUGCAACUAAAGAAGGAUCUCGCAUGAGAUACGUACUCCAUGAGAAUCUUUUUGGACGCCCGUCAAUCACGAUUUUUUUUCCCUUUUCGUAGGAAGUCUCGAUGAUGUUUACUACUUUGUGACAGAUCCAACGUAACAUGAUGACGAUGCAUGUUUGACUCUGAUGCACCUAGCUAAUUAAGCUAGUAAUCAAGCAGCAAGCUGUUAUCAUCAACCAACAAAGUAACAGAAUGAUAACACUGACUAACAUGCGGGAAAAGAGAAAAAGGAAAUGCUAAUCAUCUCUAUUCUCUUCUAUAUUCUCUCUGGCCCACACCACAAGCUUGCAAUUGGACUGAGCUUAGGUUAGUUGGUGGGAGAUGCCAGAUGCGGGUGUUGCACACUUUUCGGUAGCUAGGUCGAAGCCUGAUUAUUUUAUUUUUUUCAACUCGAAUUUCAGUGCAUACUCCUUGCCAAUAUUAAAGCUACGAUAUUUAAGACAAGCUAAUUAGUAAAAAAAUGAACCAACUAGUUUAUCAUAAACAUCGUAUAUUUAAGAACGUAGAUAGUACUAGCUGUGUCGAUCGAAGUUUUUACUUGUUAAUUUGGGGAAGAAAUGAGAGUGAGGGUACAUUUUGUGCAAGAGUUUUGACCUGUGUAUGCAAUUAUUGGACAUGAGCAUACAUACACAGCAACUAGUGAAAUGCAGUAAAAAUUCAGUAGCGGCACAGCACCAAUGACGGCCAUCAUGUCCAGCAUACCAAUGGCGGUCUAAUAGGAUGAUCAAGUAUGGUAAAGAAGAGUGAUCCAUACACCUAGCUUGAGAUUGAGUGGCAUGAUCCAUCCAGGCCAGUGUGUAUGUAUAAUAUAAUUGAAAACGACGUACUCGUACGUACCUAGCAGGAUGGGGAUCUCCCUCGCGGGGGGCUCGCCGGCGGCGUCGAAGGGGUAUGCGGUGACGCCGGCGCGGGGGCGGAUGAUGAGGGCGCCGUGGACGGUGGCGCGGAGCCACGAGCUGUGGGCGUGCCACCACAGCGUGCCUUCCUGCCCGGCGACGGUGAAGCGGUAGGUGUAGCUCUGCCCCGGCCGGAUGGGGCACUGCGUCACGUACUCGGGGCCGUCGGACCAUCCCGUCCGCAUCUGCCGCACGCCGUGCCAGUGCACCGUCACGUUGUACCUCCCACGGUUGAUGACCCGGACGAUGAGGGAGUCUCCCUCGUCGAUCUCCAACGCCGGCCCCGGGAACUGCCCGUUCACCGUCAUGAUGCUGUGCUCCCGGCACAGCCGCGUCACCGACGCCUCCUGGAUCUGCACCGUCAUGUGUCAUACAGAGUACAGGCAUGCGUGGCAAUUGGCUAGGUAGGCAUGCAACUGGAACUACUCUCUUCGUUCCAAAUUGCAGGUUGUUUUAGUUCUUUUAGAUUCAUAGAUAUUAUUAUGCAUCUAAACAUGCACUAUAUCUAGAUGCAUAAUAAUAUCUAUGAACCUAAAAAAACUAAAAUGACCUACAAUUUGAAACGGAGAGAGUAACCAUAUAGUAAUUAACAUGAUGAUCGACUAUAUUAACUCAGAGAGAUCGAUUACCACAAACUCAUGGUACUGCUCCUUGGCGAUGGCCGGCUGUAUCGUCAGGGAGGACCAGAGGAGGAGAGGGAGGGUGAUCAAGAGCAGCGAGGAGGAGCAGAACGGCAUGCUACUUGAGCUUGACAUGCCGCCGGAUGCUCGCAUUUCUUCAGCUUGAGCCUUCCAAUUGCUUAUGCAAGCGACCAAGGCUCUCUCUCUCUUUAUAUAGCUAGGAGCAGGUGGAGGAGGUGCAGAGCUGAUCAGCAGAGAUGAGGGGCAAAAGAUCCUGGCUAGCAGCUACAAAGUCAUAGACAGCGGUGGUUUUCUGGUUGGCAUUAUUAGGUCCUCAAGCGAUCCUGUUGUUGGCGAACAAAUGCAUGCCUGGCCUCUUCUUUUGACACUCACAUUUGCUUUCUCUUUCUGACCUUCAUCUCGUUUCAUGCAUGAUCCGUUAUUCAACGUGCAUGCCACUGACACUAACAAGCACACUCCAGUUGCUACAACCACUGCUGCAUUCUAUGUGUGUUUCCAUUUCAACCUCAGAAACACUUUUCCUAGUGAUGGUAACUUGGCUAACUAGCAUCCUUUUUGGUCAGCUAAUAACUACCUAGUAAUGUCAAGAAUCUCUACUCUAUUUUUGCCUGCUAAUGUAAUUGUCUGAUCAUGCCUCCAUCUCCAUCACGAGUCUAGUACAUUUUCCUCUGCAUAUGAAGAUGGAGCUUCGUCCCUCAAAGGCCAGCUGAAGCAUCAUAAUAACAGAACUUUCCAAACAGUAACGAAUGCGUGUGGCCUUGUAUUAUUUGCAAGCUCUUUUCCGGAAAGGAAACAGAGGACAUACAUACUCUACCAUCUACUGUUGCAUACUUGCAUCAUACACAAACUUUUGGCAAGAUGACUCCUGUGAUCAUGCUUCCAUCACGACUUUACUUCUCCUCUCCUCUGGACAUCCUCAAGGACAGGCUGAAACAUCAUAAAAAAUAUAAGAAUAAGAUAGAGCCUAGCUGCAGUCUGCAGGAUCAAUGAGUAUGGCAUUGGUCGGUAGGUCUUAUCCUGAACAAGGAAACUACAAAGGUACUCUUCAAUCAUCUAAUGUUGCAUCAUAUCAUGGAUUGGCUUCAAUGUCCACGCUGUGUGCAUAUCCGUAUUAUUACUUCUUUGUGUACAUGGAUGAGAACCUGUCAUCGUUGAUGGAACUUGAUCACCUAUAUACUAGAUAGCUGAAUCAGAUCCAGAACCAACACGCAUCAACUUCACCAUUUGGAAUUUCAUUCCACAUCAAAUCGAACGUGAUAGGCUAAGUACUUGAAUGUUUAAAAAUGAAACAGAGAAAGCAACCUCAUGUUCAUUUCUCAAUCAGGCAGAGCUCCAAAAGCCAAAUGUUUAGGCAUACUCUACAAGCAGACCCAUGGUUAGCAGUAUGUUUUCAACAUUUCAAUUCAUCAGAAAAAUAGAUAUAUAUCCUAACCAAGGAUCAUAGAGCUGUCUGCAACUUGCAUUUUAGCAUUACCAUUUUGCAUCACAUGCUUAUCAUCACAAACUAUGCCGAGCAUGUUUCCAUUAGGAUAAUCAUUAUGCAUGAAUUAAGGAAUCAUAGCCGGUGGGGACACUAGUCCUGCAAAUGUUUCCACUUGCAACAAAGGUUGCUUAGCUUUUGUUUCAUUUUGCUAGAACCAAACACUUAGUUCCUGCAUCAGCCUUUUUUCGCAUCCAAAUUCCCAUGAAAACAAUGAGGUGAGGUCACUAACAACUUUCUUUUAUCCUUUUGACUAACAAAUCUCUGUGUAUCCAUUCUUCCCGAGCAUCACUAACUGAAUCUUUACUUUGACAAGGGUUGUUAAUCUCGCACUGCCAAAUUUCACAUGGAAGUAUAACUACACUGUUUGACCAUAAUGACAUUUCUAUUCUAUGUUGCAAGGAUCAAAAGUGCAUCACUACAUCUAGAUUGUCUCCUUUUUGUUGCUUGCACCACUGACCCAAGUAACCAAGAUGUGACGUAUAAUAAGCUGACCUCGUUAUGUACUGAGAUAAAGUAAAAAAAAUUGCUUCAUUGAUUAUGCCUGUACUAAUGUAUUUUAACCAUAGAGGAAUUUUCAGUACGAAUUUUUGACUUUUGGGUAAUCAGAACAAAACUUAGUUUAAACAGUUAAACAGUGCUAAAAGCUCUAUUGCUCUUCUGUAAUAUGAAAACAAAUUAUUGUUCAAAUAGUAUAUUUUUGCCAGACUUUGACACUGUAGGGUUCUCAAAUACUUGUUCCAUCAAAUGAUUCAUGUGCAUGAGCCUGUGGUUGGCAGAAGUACAACAAGAAGCGUGCUGUGUGCUAACCACCACAUACUGUUCAUGGAUUCAGUAGGCAGCAAGUACCCCAUCUGUUCUAGCUUCAGACGGUUUCUUGCAAUUCAAGGCAGUCUAAAGUCAAAUGGAAAGAACAGCAAGAAUCUUGAGGAGGAAGGAAGAAAUGCAAUUUGUCAUAAAAGGAAGAGAUUUGCUUGGUGGCAAAGAGCUCAAAGAAAUAUUUUAAUCCAAGGCUGGGAUAUAGCUCGCUGCUAAUUUGGAGGCAUCUAACAACUCUUGUGCUCCACUACUUGUCCUUCAAAAACUGAAAAGAUGUUUCACAUGCUGGUGUGCAAGCGUAUCAGGCCCCAUUGUUUCCUUCAACUUCCAUCUAUAAGUAAAAAAAGAAAAAGAAAAAGAAAAGUAGAACUGAUUUCAUGGCAUGGGAUGGUGCUUCUUAGAUAAAGCUCAAGAACUACGAUACGAUUUCUCAUAUUUUGAGGCCAUGUUUAGUUACCCCCAACUUCCAACUUUGACACUAUGCAAAAAGAAGAUUCCCCAUCACAUCAAACUUGCGGUACAUGCAUGGAGUACUAAAUGUAGACGAAAUUAAAAACUAAUUGCACAGUUUUAUUGUACUUUGCGAGACGAAUCUUUUGAGCCUAAUUAGUCAAUAUUUGGACAAUAAUUCACAAAUACAAACGAAACGCUACAGUGUGCUACAGUGCUAGCACAGUAAUUUUGCAUCUUCCAAAUUGGCCAACUAAACAAGGCAGUUUUAGUACUGCUGGAAUGACCAAGCUUAAAUCUGGACUUUGUUGGCGAUGGAAUGAAGAUUUGACUUGUGAGACAAAUCUCCAAGAAACAAAGAAUAUGCCCACAGUCCCAGUGAAAUAAUGCUAGUGAUUAGUUGAAACACCUGAAGCUUAUUAUAAUGAGUCACAUGUUUAGCAAUAAGUAGAAAGCCAAAGAGUUGUGCAGUUUUUGCAACCAACAAGCAAAAGGUAACCUUUCUGAACCUUUUAAAUUGGAAAUAAUUGAAGCAAAAGAAUCCUUAAAUAGCAUCUGUACAGCAAUAAUUUGUACGGCAUUGAAAGUUUGAUGCAAUGAUAUUGCCCCAUUUCUUUGAACCUGUGAUCGACUGGCAAGUCUUGAUGACAUCUUUUGUGCGGUCUAUUGCAUUGGAAUGCCAGAAUUGGUCCACAGCAUUGCAUAUCUCCAUGUGGUUUCGAAUGACCAAAGCCUUUGUGCGUUUUAAGCUUGUGCUUUGUGAACAAUUCUUAUGUGCUUUGUGAUCAGCCAGCUUAAUAGCAGUUGGUGGAAAUUUGAGUAGCUGCUGCUGCUAACAUGAAGAUACUAAACAACAUGAAGAAAUAACAGUUUAGGGUUAGGGAGAGAUGAUCAGCCAGCUUAAUAGCUAGCAGGGGAGCACAAAGUAGCAAGCAAUAUUCGUGCAUUAUUUCAUUUGCUCAUAUCUCAUUGGUGAGAACAAAAGUCGUUUUAUAGGUCGUUCGUUUUCUCUUCUUCAGGGAACAACCAAGCAACUACUUCUGAACCUCACAUUGCAAGACAAAGAAUGUAGGUAAGAUGGUCGGCGCAGGUGAUUGAUUGUAGUGUACAAAUGGCACGAGUCGACCUAGUUUGUUGAUAGCACGAAAUUGGUCACGCUGAUAGCCUUGAGACUGAAAGCCAUUCAUCGGCAGUAACAGAUUAAGGACAUGUUUGGUUCUAGAAGCUAAACUUUAGCCCUAUCACAUCGGAUGUUUGAUACUAAUUAGAGUAUUAAAUAUAGGCUAAUUAUAAAACUAAUUGCAUAGAUGGAGGCUAAUUCGCGAGACGAAUCUAUUAAGCCUAAUUAGUCCAUGAUUUGAUAAUGUGGUACUACAGUAACCAUUUGCUAAUGAUGGAUUAAUUAGACUUAAUAGAUUCGUCUCGUGAAUUACCCAGGGUUUCUGCAAUUAGUUUUAUAAUAAGCUCAUAUUUAGUCCUCCUAAUUAGUAUCCGAAUAUUCGAUAUGACAAGGGCAAACUUUAGCUCCUAGUAUCCAAACAGCCUCUAAGCUCAAAUCUGAAUAUCUCACCAAACAGAAACAGCCUGCAGUGAUAGAUAGAUAGAUUCGGUUGGGUGGAUAAGUUGUUUAAGUUGACCGGUGUACUUAGAAUCCACAGCUUAGGGCAGCCACGACGAAGAGGAAAGACCUGUAUGAUCCAGCUCACCAUUGUACAAGAGGAAAGACCUAUAUGAUCCAGCUCACCAUUGUACAAGUAGUUCAUAUAGCAAUCCACCUUAUAGUUAGGUAAGCGCACCUGCAACACUUAUAGAAAGUAAACUUUAUAUAACUUCUUCAUGUCAUCUAUAGACAAUGUUUAUAGAGUAGUCAUCCAACAAACUUAGGUGGUGUUUGGAUACGAGGUGCUAAACUUUAACAGUGUCACAUUGGAUGUUUGGAUGCUAAUUAGGAGGGCUAAACAUGAGCUAAUUAUAAAACUAAUUGCAGAACCCUGUGCUAAUUCGCGAGACGAAUCUAGUAAGCCUAAUUAAUCCAUCAUUAGCAAAUGGUUACUGUAGCACCACAUUGUCAAAUCAUGGACUAAUUAAGUUUAAUAGAUUCGUCUCGCGAAUUAUACUCCAUCUAUAUGUGACAGGUGUUCCCAAACAAACACCCCCUUACUUACUGUAACAUUUGUCCCUCAAUUUAGUGGACCCCACGUGUCAGAAGUUUUUUAUUUCCUCCUCUCACUCUCUCCCCCUCUUCCUCGUCUCCCUCGUGCCGGCGAACAGGCGGCGGCGCCUCUCCUCCUGGCCGGCGGACUGGCGGCGGCGUCCCUCCUCCGCCCGCGGUGGCUCGGCCGACCGGCGGCGCAGCUCCUCCGCCUCCGCGGCGCCCCAUGGCCGCGGCCCCUCCGUCUCCUCCGCUGCAGGUUCGCAGGCCGUGGCCUUGCCUCCGACGUCCGCGAGCUCCUCCGCGCGCCGGUGUGGCCAAGCUCGGGCGGAUGCGCCGGCAGAGCCCCACGUGCGAGCCGCACGACCCCUGCCUCGCUCGCACCUGCGCCCUGCCGAGACCGAGCUAGCGUUCGAUUGGAGGGAGGGGAGAGGUGAGGGGACCGAGCGACGCCCCGGAGCAGUGGCUGCCGAUGGCCGCGCCCCUUCUCGCGCCCGGUGGCCGUGGUUCUCCCCCCGCUGGAGCCGGCGCACCUCCUCCCCGCGAUGGAGCUCCGGCGGCAAAACAUGCGCGCGGAUCGUGUUUAGUCGAGGAUUCGACCACGUGAUGCUGCUACAGUAAUGCUAAUCGUGAAUUAAUUAAGUUUAAUAGGUUCGUAUCUCUCGAUUAACCUUCGUCCGUACAAUUGAUUUUAUAAUUUCCUCCUAAUCACGUCUAAAUAUUUGAUAGGAUAGGAUUAAAUUUUAAUCCGUGGAACAACCACUCCUAAGCCCACCGAUAAAAUAAUAUAAUCUCUCCUCUUCCGGGCUGGAUAAAUUUUUUAUAGCCCAUCCAAUCAGUUGUUCCUCAGUGACCGUUAGAUUCUGAGAGGAGUUGUUGGUGUUGGCCCGUUGGAUCUUUAUCUGAUUGAACCAAAAAUUGUUGAAUAGUCUUGUCGUUUUGUUGGCAAGCAUGUCCUGUAGUUAGCAGGUGUUCGGCUGGACUUCAAAUAAACCGCCGCCGGCUUUUUUUUUUACUGUUUGAACAGUAAAAACAGAGAGAAGUAAAAAAAAAAACUAGCUGAACAGCGGCUACGGCUUAUUUUGGCUCAUUCGAAUAGGCAUCAGUUUGAACUCUGUACUACUGAAAUCUGCUGGAACACAUCCACUGUUGGACAGCAUGAACAAAGGCAGUAUGACAAAUUCAGUAACUGUUCAUCAUCAUGAUCGCUAAUUCACCACCAUCCUCAUGAUGGACAAGGUAAUCAAAUAAAUAAAAUAUGCAUUAUUAUAGCAGUAGUAUUUCUCCUCUUUCCCAUCCUUGCUCCUAGGCUGCUACAUACAGCCGCUGAUUCUAGUGCGAGUGCAAAUAAUAUUUGCCUAUACAAACUGAAAAUUACCUAGUAAACGCAAAAACUAAGGGGUGAUCCGAUAUUCCGAUCCCCCAGUGGUAGAAGUAGAAGUAAUACUUCAGGAUUAAACGAAUCAAAGAAUCUCUUUUCUAGCUAAUAAACCAUUGCUUUUCUUCUCGCGAUUCUUGGCUGUUGCCGCGCGCUCGUGCUGCUGCUGCUACUCAUCGUCUCCUGCAGAAGCCACUGGCACAUGCGCGCCGGCACCUUCCUCGCUCGGCCCGGCGCCGCCAUCCGAUCCCGGCCUGAUCUGCUCGAGCUGCCGCAGCACCUCCCGGGCCUCGGGCCUUACCGACGGCGCCGGGUCCACGCAGUGCAGUGCCAGCUUCAGCGUGUCCAUCAGCUCGUCGCCGACGGGCCCCGUGGCGGCGUCGCGCAUCAGCUCCAGGUCGAAUACCUCGCUGGUCCAUUCCUCCUUCACGAUGGACGCCACCCACUGCGGCAGGUCCAUGCCGUUGGUGCUCUCCGCGGGGUUCUUGCCUGUCAGCAGCUCCAGGACGAUCACGCCCAGGCUGUACACGUCCGUCUUCGCGUUCGCCUUCUUCAGCUUCGACAGCUCCGGCGCGCGGUACCCCAGGGCGCCCGCCGCCGCCAGCACGUUCGAGUUCGCCGCGGUCGUCAUGAGACGGGACAGCCCGAAGUCGGAGAUCUUGGGGUUGCAUUGCUCAUCGAGGACGACGUUGCUGGCGGUCAGGUUGCCGUGCACGAUGUUCAUGUCGUCGUGGAGGUAGGCCAGGCCACGGGCUGUGCCCUUGGCGAUUGUCAUCCGUGUCGCCCAGUCCACCGUCGUAUUCGGUGCGCGAGCUGCAUCAAUGCCAUUCAUCAUCAGGAAACAUCAAGUGUUAGUACACAAAGUUCACUGUUUCAGCUUCAGAAGGUGUCAAAAGUUCACAAGCACACUAAGAAAUGGAAGGAAUAUCUAGCUGUGAACAAAUUUAUCAAGAGUUUCAUAAAAGGAAAUUGCUCGUUUUCACUGAAUGUAACACGACACAGUUCGUUCUUAACAGUUAGCAUUUCUGCACUGGCCAUGAACAGAGAAACUAUGAACUUUGAUGUAAGAUUUUUCAGAUGUCAAGGGUAUGAACUGACAUCAGUCCUACAGCAAACGCACUGCAAUUCAAACUUUACCAAUUCUCACUGGCAGGUCUACCUGCUAACAUAACAGACAGCUAUAUCAAUUUUGGCAAUGUCUGAAUUUGUAGAUGUUCAGAGAGUUCAGACUAGGCAUUUUGCUGAAACAGAGCAAUUAGCAUACAUAAUAAGCUGGUAUGAAAGAAUUUAACUACAUACAUGCAGACUAAACAGAAUGCCAGAAUCCAGCAAAUGAUGAUAUAUAAUUGCUUAACAUUAGCUGAAAUAAUUAGCUAAACCAUGAGCUAUGGUGAUUCAGUCAGAAAUUAGUAAUGCUGAAGAGAACAAGAGAGAGCAGAGCAGGGAUAAGAAGCCUGACCGUGCAAGAAUGUUGAGAGGUUGCCCUUGGGCAUGUAAUCGAAGACGAGCAGCUUCUCCCCCUUGGGCCCCAGGUAGUAGGCCCUGAGCGCCAGCAGGUUGGGAUGGCGGAUCCUGCCGAGCAAGGCCGCCUCGGCCUCGAACUCCUUGUGGCCCUUGGUGAUCUUCUCCCUGAGGCGCUUGACGGCAACCAGGCUGCCGUCCUCCAGCGUGGCCUUGUACACCGUGCCGUAGGUGCUCUUCCCCAAGAUCUCCGCCGUGGCGCACAGCAGGUCGUCCGCCGUGAACGCCAGCGGCCCGUCGAAGUGCACGAGCUUGCCGCCCACGUCGCCGCCGGACUCGACCUCCGCCGCGCCCGACCCUGGCUUCUCGCUGCGCCCGGCCGCCGCGGCAUCCUUGGGCGCCUGCUUCCCGCUCCUUGCUGCACUUGUGCUGGUGGAAGACGACCUCUUCCUUGUGAGGAAGCACAGCAGGAGGCAGCAGAGGAGCAGCAGGAUGAGGACGCCGACGACGAUCCCGGCGAUGAUGAGUACGAGCUCCUUGGUGCUGAACUUGCGGCGGCCGCGCGCCUCCUCGGCGGUUGAAGAUGGCGCCGGGGACGGGGACGCCGGGCAGGGCGUGGAAGCAGAGUAUCCGCAGAGCAGGAUGUUCCCGAUGAAGGCGGGCUCCCCGAACUUGUUGGCGAGGGACGCCGGCACCGCGCCGGAGAGGUUGUUGUAGGAGACGUUGAAUGACUGGAGCGUGGCGGUGAGGUUGUCGAGGCUCGGCGGGAUGUCGCCGCUGAGGUCGUUGCCGGAGAGGUCGAGCGCCUUGAGGUCGGCGAGGGAGCCGAGCUCGGCGGGGAUGGUGCCGUUGAGGUUGUUGUUCCCGGCGAGGUCGAGCUGCUGCAGCUUGGUGAGCUUCGUGAGGGAAUCGGGAAUGGGCCCGUCGAGGGAGUUGUGCGCGAGGCUGAGGAAGACGAGCUGGUAGCUCCCGGUGAUGGAGUCCUUGUUGAGGAGGAGCUUAGAAGGCGACUUGGUGGAGCCGGCGAAGGCGUCGGGUAUGGGGCCGGAGAGGUUGUUGUAGGAGAGGUCGAGGAAGAGGAGCGAGGCGGAGGCGACGACCUCGGCGGGGAUCUGAUCGGAGAGCGCGUUGCGGCUGAGGUUGAGGCGGAUGAGCUUGGUGGAGUUGGCGAUGGCGGGCGGGACGGCGCCGGUGAGGCGGUUGUUGCUGGCGUCGAAGGACUGGAGCGCGACGCAUCCUCCGAUGGACGCGGGGACGGCGCCGGAGAAGCGGUUGUUGAAGAGGUAGACGCCGCGGAGGUCGGGGAGGAAUCCAAGCGAGGCCGGGAUGGGGCCCGCGAUGGCGUUGUCGUGGAGGCUGAGCCUUCGGAGGCGGGUGAGCUGGCCGAGGCCGCGCUGGGAGAGGGUGCCCCCGAGCCCCCGCCAUGGGAGCGUGAUGGCGACGACGCUGCCGAGGACGCACUUGAUGCCGGCCCAGGCGCCGGAGCAGGCGGUGAGGCCGGAGUCGUUCCAGGAGCGGAGGAUGCCGUAGGGGUCGGCGAGGUCGUGGCGGAUGGCCUGCAGGCCCUGGUAGUCGGCCUGGGAGAUGACGACGCCGUCGCCCGCGGGGUGGUGGCGGUGGUGGCCUUGAGCGGCGGCGGGCGGUGGAGUGAGCAGGAGGAGGAGCGCGGCGCAGCAGCAGCGGAGGAGGAAGGGGAGGCGCGUCGGCCUCCGCCGCGGCGGCAGCAUUGUGGCUGUUGAUUUGGAUUGAGAUCAAAACUGCAAGUGUUGGUUUGUUUGAUGAGUGAGAGGAGGAGGAGGAAGAAGAGCAGUAGAGAUUGCUGCCUCGCCUCCCCUGCUGUGGGUGUGUUGAUGAACGGUGGCGCAACGGCUAGUAGCAAGCAGAGUCAGAAAAGCAACAAGCCUGCACCUGCACGGUCUGAGGAAGCAGUCACGAGGGAGGAGUGGGCCAGGCGGUUUAAUUAUUUUUUUUUGUAACGGCUAGUCCAUGUCCAUCCAUCCGACCCAGGACCAACCAGCAGGCCAGUCCAGUAACGCAAUCCUCCCGGCGGCCUCUUGGACUGGCCCGGUAGGGGGGAGGUUGGUUGUUGUUUUUGCUUGGGUGGCGAAUAUCUCGGUCCGCAGGCCCACCUCCCUCUUUAAUCGCCUUUUCUUUCUCGUCGACCAAUACUCUCAUCGCCAGCAGCCGGAAGACGAAGAAGAUGGUGGCGGAAGCGGAACGAGACGACGACGAGAGGCCGGGUUGAGCAAUGGGUCGGCUGGCUCGUUUCUGAAGCCCACAACGUACGUCUUUCUUGGGCUGGCUCGACCGAUUUCAGUCAGGGGUCAGGCCCUAAUUAAUAGCCCAACACCUCUCAAGGAAAAAUAAAAAUUAAUAGCCCAACAAAAACAGAAGUAGCGGAAGCGAGUCCAAUGCGGACGGACCGACCGGCAAGCUUUUUAGGGAUAGAAGAAGAAGAUGGCGCCGUCAGUAGGAGAAGAAGAUGGCGCCGAAACGGAAGCUCGAAGACGCUGCUGCUACAGAUGAUCCGCCGCCUUCCUCGUCAGCCAUUGUCGUCAGAGCUCAGAAGAAGAAGAUGGCGGCGGAGGUGGAACGGCAACACGCAGACGCUGCUGCUGCUGCAGAUGAUGAGAGGCAGUCAUCCUCCUCCUUCCACCGCCACAAAGAGGACGUGCUGAUGCUGAGCGCCUCAGAUCAGAUCCUACACAAGAACCUCGACCACUACGGCCUUCUGCGGCAGCCGGGAAACCUGUACUGGAGCACCCAGCAGGGAUGGAUGCUCAUCAUGGAGUACCUACAAGAACAACCCUACACCUCAUCCGCGGCAGCCUACCUUCCUGCGGAACCCUCACACGGGAGACAGGCAAGCUUCCAAUGUUCCAGUACUUUGAUGUCCCUAGAAUGAACCACCCCCACGGGACAAGCUCGAUCUUUCUCAUAUACAUGAGCUCAAUGCAUACAAGAUGGAUUUCUCAGCACAGUCGUCGUCUUGGCGCAGGGUCAAUGACAUUGGAGACGCUGUGAUUUUCUUGGAAGAUGGUUAUUCAAACAUGGCAGCCUCCUACGCAGCAAACAAAUCGGAUAUACUUCAUCAACAGAUGACGCAACGAUGAUACUGGUUGCUUGUGCACUUUUGACUUGGGAUUAAACAUCCUGGAGAAUGUCUGGUUCCCCCAGAACAACUUGUUUCGCUGCUUCAUACCUUUUUGGAUUGUGCCACCUAGCAACUAGCAGCUAUCCUAUGCAUGUGUGCCUGAUCAAUACAGAUCGAUUUCCUAAGUUAUGUGUAGCGAGGGGUUAGUUUUAAGCUAAUAAUAAGUAUGGUGAUGCAUGGAUUGCGAUUGUUUUAUGGAAUAUAAGCCAUGCGUGGAAUACAGCAAGCCUACUAUGCAUGGGUUUUCUUUUCCUUGUCAGAGAUCGUACAACGAGAUGCAGACAAUGGGCCUGUUCGCUUCAGCUUAUUCAGUCGGCUUAUCAGCCACCAAACAGUGUUUUCCUCUCACAACAAAUCAGCCGUUUCAGCUUUUCAGCCGGCUUAUAAGCUGAAGCGAACAGGCCCAAUCAUCUCAGAAUACUCAAGUCCUACAUUACUUACUUGAUGGUCUCACCAUCUCUGUGCAGGUUUACCUUCAACUGAAAAUAUGAUUCUCCCUCCCUGGUAGUAAUACAGCUAGGCUAUAUGAAUCCGACAAGGGCAGGCGAAAAGGGCUGUCAAUGAGAGCAUCGCAUUUGUGAAGAUGAGCAAUACUGUAGUAUAUGGCAUACAAGUUCAUGUUAUGUGUUUGGUCGAUUCAUUCCAAUGGGAUGAUCUGAUGAGUUUGGAAUGCGGCAGCUGCUUCAUCUACAUGUGCAACGCAAAAACAAAUGACACAGCAUCUUCUGAAUAUGGCCAUAUAUAUAUCAUCAAGUCACUAGCAUACAAAUUGAGACAUCAAAUUGACUUUGCCAUACACCAAAAUUCAAAACAAAAACUAGGUUCCCGAUUCUUGUUUGUGUAUGUAUAUUCUUUAGUAUCCAUAAUACUCUGAUUUAGUAUAGUGUACCAUAGCAACAAUAAUCAUCUCAUAGAUAGACAGUACAACGUAUGGAGGAUGAAUGUUUCCUCAGCGGCUAGCAAAAGAAGAUGAAUGAAUCACACGCAAUUAGAGGCUAAGGCACAUGACCUUUAACGGUGGGGGCGAUCAGAUCAGACGCGUCCUCCUCCUACUCCUCCUGUGGCGUUGGCGAUGAAGGACAGCAGCGGGUUGCCGCUGCCGGCGGCCUGGUCGGGCUCGUCGAGGAAGAGGUCCUCCGGGACGCGGAACGCGCCGUGCGCGCAGACGACGGCGGCGCCGAGGGCGAGCGCGGAGAAGAUGAGCGAGCCGACGGAGGUGAGGAAGACGACGAAGGCCGAGGAUGCGAUGAGGCCCCCGAGCACCUCCUUAUCGGAGAAGGUGCGCCCGAACGCGGCGAGAGGCGGCGCGUCGGCGGGGCGGAGGAUGUAGAGGAGGCACCAGGCGGCGAGCAGGGCGAGGAGGGCGGCGAGCGAGAAGGGGUGGGCGAGGAGGGCGGCGGCGAGGGAGAGCGCGACGACGGCGGCGUAGUUGACGCGGAAGUAGGCGAGAUUCUUGCGGAGGCGGGAGGUGGCGUCGGAGAGGGAGUCCGGGCGGGAGAGCGCGGAGCGGUCGGCGAGCUCGGACCAGGGGCGGGCGCCGGAGAGCGCGCGCCUGGCGGAGUCGAGGAGGCGGGAGAGGAAGGCGCGCGCCGCGGCCGGGUUGGCGUCGGCGGCGACGUCGGCGGAGGAGACGGCGGUGGGGAUGGGGGUGGGGGUUGGUGUUGCCGCCGGGGCGACGGAGGUGGGGAGGAGCGGAGGGGAGGGCGCGGCCAUGGUGCGUGGCCGGGUUUGGCGGAUCUGGGCGAGGGAGGCUGAGGGACGAGGACGCACGCGGAGAGGGAGAGAUGGAAGCCGAACAACCAACACAAAAGAAGGGAGCGAGGCCACCGACCGCACCGACACACGCAACAAAGAAAUGGACUAGUCAACGCGUCGCCACGGUGCACGUCAAAAAUUGCCGGCCAAGGAUCGUGCAAAUUCUAUGUCAGUUAUAUUUGUGAGUUUGCAUGGUUUUCAAAAUGCACACAGUUUGACUUGAAACUGUGAACGGUUUCUUUAGAAAAAGAAAAUGCCGUAUCGUAAGGAUUUAUUUGGAUAGUAGUGGAUUUAAGUAAAAUAGGAGGGAUCGAAGAGGAAAUUAGUUCAUUUUAGAUUCAAUUCUUUUUGUUCCACUUCAAUACUUUCCUAUCCAAACAAGCCUAAGAGGCUGCUAACACAAGCAGCAAAGUGUUGCCGCAACUAAUAACAAUUGUUUGGUAGAGACGCAAUGUGACGUGAUGUACUAGAAGAAAUUCAACAAUAACAAAGAAACAAAAGGGUUGGGCAGCAGAGGAGCUAUCCAUUUCAGGUUAGGCAGCAAAACACAGGUAGGUCAAGCAUCACUGCCUACAACUGCGACGCAUCUUCUUCCAUAUCAAUCAAGCACCAUGUACUUGGUUCUGGAAGAAACUGGCAACACACCAGCGAAGUUCUCCCACCAUCCAUACUUGAGGUGCGAACCUCCCUCCCCUCCCAUUAUUCAUUUAUCCCUUGAUUUUUCCUUUUUCUUUUAAUCCAACUGUAUACCGUACUAAGCAAGCAAAUCACAACAGCAAAGAGUACCCUUUGCAAGUUCACUUACCAGCCAUCAUCCCCUAUCAAACAGAACAAGAUAGACACAAUCAUUUCAAGCUUACCAUACCAAACACAAAGGACCAACCAAGAUAACCAAGUUUGUGCAAGCCAACACAGCACAGCACGAAUAUGCUAUGUUGCAUUGAACAAGUCUGUGCCCCAGUCCCACAUGACAGUUUUCACUUCAGUUCAGCACAAAUUAACUAAUAUCUUACAACAGUGUCCUUAUUAGGCCAUUAUGCAAUGGACAAGACAUUAGGGAACACGAUUUUCCUUCACUGGAGCCACACCCAUGGACCUCAAAUCUAGAAGGUGGAGCCAUUCCAACCAAAGUCUGAGCCCUGCAUCAUCACAUGAUACUCACAAUCAGCAUGAUGCUAAGAUAUCAUCGGAUAAUAAAGAAACUAACACCAUCUACAUAAGCAAGCAGAAAGGGAACAUAUGCAAAACCAGGAAGAUGGCAUGAAACAACAGAUGAUUAUUUACAUGAUCUAUUCUUGAUGCAAAGCAUGCAAACAUUGAGCAUGUUCUUGUGCAGGAUGAGCCUAACAAACAACAAAAUUGAAAUGAGAACUUGGUGAUGGUUAAAAGGACCCAUGAAUCGUAUGUCGAGUCAACAAGAAAUAGUGCCUGCUUGCCUUUGAAUCAUGGAACUUGAGGUAAAAGCGGGACUUGGGAAUGGACAGCUUUGAUUCCAGAAUAGAAGCAACACCAGCACUCAGCUUCUUGUUGACACCAGGGUUCAGCCCUCCAAUGGAAACCAGCUCACCAUAAGCUGCAGGCUCCUGGGUGCCUCCAAAUGCCAUAGGCACUGAACCUUUGAGAACAACCAUCACGUACUGGGAGAGGACAAGCACUCCAGUCAAAUCCUCAAGAUGAUAGUACACAAGCGAAAUGGCUUUGGUUAAAUAUUUCAACCACAGAAAAACAAUAAAAAUCUAAAUUUUCAUCAAUUUAAGUAUAUCACCACAGGUCACCCACCAGAAAUCCAAAGAGUGACAGUAUGAGAAUGAUAAAGGAAAAGCACGCGCCCAAACUAUGUAGCAAAGCAGCUGCCUGACUAACACUAAUAUGAAGUGACCAAUAAACAGGAACUUUCAAACUUCAUCUAUAUCAACUGUUGGCUGCAGUAUUUUAGGGAUAACAUACAGGAAAAGCAGCCCAUGAUCUCCAAGUUUGCACUUGAUAUUGCUGAAGAAUAGUAAAGUAGGGGUUGCUGGUUGCUAGAAAUCUAGUCCAGAAAAAAAAAGUGAGCAGAGACUUUUGUCAGUUAGUUUGUUGUAAAUACAUCUGUUCUCACUUCUCUGCGGCUUGAUAUCAUGUUUCUAUUCAGUAGUCAGAUUGGCAAGAUAGUGAAAUUGAUAGACGAAUGGCUUGAUAUUUCUUUCACUGAGUGACCACAAUGGUUAUUAUAUCAAUCCUAGAUAGGCACUGGGGAUACCGUCUCAGAGACAGACUAUUGAGUUAUCUGGUUCCCUUCGUCAAUGCUGAAUCUGUCAAAAUUACAGGUUCAAAUCAUAUAUGAACUCGAUUCUGGGAGACUGCAAUCAUGUUCUGGGAUUUUUUGGUUGUGUCAUGUAAAUAUCAUCAAAAUUUUCGAGUGAGUGCAGUGAGAAUCAACAUCGGGGUGUCCAUGAUAAACCUAGAGAAUACUCCCCCAAAAUGAAUAAAAGCCUAGAGGUCAAAUUCCCCAAUUGUAGUAUUUAUCAAAGGGGAAUGUUGCGAGAUUUUACUGAUUCACAUGAAUUCUCUUUAAACUACCAUCGGAAAACACGAUUAAUCGAUUGAUAGCCAACAGAAAGGUGACAUGCAGUGAUGCACAUCCUGCUCAAAAUCCUAACAGGUUGCAGGAGCCAAUUACAAAAUGGAAGCAUAAUCUCCACCAACCAAAUAGAUGCAAGAGGAGAGACGUCCUACACAGGCAAUGAAUCGCGUGGGGGGAGAAAGAAGAUGGGGGGAAAGGGAAAGGGAAAGGGAAAGGGAGAGGCGAGGCUUACGGCCUCUGGCUUGCCGAUGGUGUCGGCGACGACCUUGGAGGCUUCGGCGAGGAUGGCGGAGGUGUCCACACCCUCCAGGUUGACGUUCGUCGACACGUUCAGGCACGGCAUCCUCAGACCCUCGCUUCGUCUUCCUCUUCCUUCUCCUGCCUGGGUGCUCCUCUGGCCACAGCCGCCUUCUCCGCCUCUGCUCUGC